rnacentral:lncRNA from 1 species
AAUCUCUGAAACCAAACGCCAACAAUAUAGAACAUGUUAGGUUCACGAUUGAAAUAAAAAUGAAAAAUAAAAUGAUAAAUUAUUCAAAAAUGCUUAAUUUAUUAUUGGAAUGGAUAAUGAAAUGAAUAAUCGAGACACCUAAGAUUUUGAAAAAAUGUUUUAUUUAAGAGAGAGAAAGAAAAGGAGUUUCUGAGAGAGAAUUCUGAACGAUUUACUUGUUGAUCUUGAAUUCAAAAUCAAAUAGCGCCAUAAAUAGAUUAGGUCAUUUUUAUUUCAGAAUAAAAUAAAAUUUGAAAUCAGAUUUUUACAAAAUAAAUAACAACUACCAGCAUUAGUUAAUCUCAUUUUGCUUUUGGAAUUUAAAAUAGAUAAACCAAACAAGCCACAUUAGAUGAAUCAUUCCAAUUGCAUUCCCAACAUCAAUUCAUCCAACUAAACAUGCCCGUAACAUUUUUUCAAUCGAUAAAUAGUUACUUACACUUGGUCCCCUCGUACAAAAUCAUUUCGAAAACGAAACGGGGUUUAUUAAUUAAUCGUAAUCAUAAUCAUAAUCAUCAUAUAUAUGUAUAUAUAGUUAUAGAUCUCCCACGUGCGUCACACGUGCACACCCAACGAGGUGGCGGGGGCCGGCCCCUCCUCGGCCUUGGCCUCCAUUUGAAUACAAACCUUUCCCUCCAUGACCUCCAACGUCUCCUUCUUGUACCUGUAACACCUCGCGAACCACACAAACACGCCCAAAUUGAUCCCCGAGAUCACCAUCAAGAAGGCGUAGUAGUAAUCGAGGUGCGACUCGUUGAGGUUGUUCCCUAUCCAGCUGCUUCCGCUGGUGGCCUUGUCGACGACGGUGAUGAGGAGGCUGUUGAGGAAGUUGCCGAGGCCGAUGCCGCUGGUGAAGAACGUGGUGCCGAGGCUCUGCAUGUCCUCGGGGGACUGGUCGUAGAAGAACUCGAGGAUGCCGAUCGCGUUGAACACGUCGCCGAUCCCGAGCAGCACAUACUGCGGCAGCAGCCAGAAGAUGCUCAUCGGCACGAUUGCGUCGGGGGCGGUGAUGCUGUGCUGCCUGAUCACGCGCAUGCGCCGGAGCUCGACCAGGUAGGCGACAGCGGUGACGAGGACGUGGAAGAAGAAGCCGACGCCGAGGCGCUGGAGCAGCGUGAUGCCUCGGGGGUUGCCAGUGCGGCGCCGGGCGAGGGGGACGAGGAGGCGGUCGUAGAAGGGGACGGUGAGGAGCAUGGAGAGGGUGAUGAGGGAGCCGAGGGAAGCCGCGGGGAGGCGGAAACCCCCGCCGAAGGAGCGGUCGAGGGUGGUGCCCUGCUUCACGAAGAGCGUGUUCACCUGCGCCCAGAUGGUGCAGGGGACCAGCGUGGUGAGCCACACCAUGCUCAUGCCCAGCACAAGCUUCGUCUCCUCCACUUGGGUCACCGUGCACGGCGCGCCGCUUCCGCACCCUUUCACAGCCGCCUUGUCCAAGAACCUACGUACGUGCGUGCGUGCAUGCAUAUGCAUAUAUGCAUGUGCAUAUGCAUGCAGAGAAAUUAACAAAUCAUUUUUUACAAAAUUCUCCCAUACAAAUUAAAUCGUCAAUAUUAUACACCUGCACGAUUGUACUUAAUUUGUGUAAUCUCCUCCUCUCAUUUCAUUAUUUUAAGUCGUCAUGAGCUCAUUAAAAAGUCUCGAAUCCAAAUAUUUCGACUACACAUUAUUUAAACACACACUACAUAUUUUUUGAAUUGAAUGUUGGAAAGAAAAUCACAAAAAGUACUCGAGAAUAGAAUAAUAUAUAUAUAUAUAUAUAUAUAUAUAUAUAUAUAUAUAUAUAUAUAUAUAUAUAGCCGAACUAAAUAUAUGAAAUGACAUAUUUAAAUAGGGUUGGGUCAUUCAAGCGGCCCAAAAAUCAAGCCCAAUUGCUUUUCUUUGUUGACUUUUGACGCAUGCAUUGCACUGAUGAAAAGUUUCAUAGAAGUAAUUAACUUAAUUAUUCAAAACAUUUAAAUAAGUCCUAAAAAGAUCGGCUUAAACACUUUCCGAUUUGAGGCAUUGCAUUCACACAAAUGAACAUGUGCUUAAUUAACUCUCGCAAGUCGCAACUAGUCAUCAUAGGCAUUAGGAAACAAUAGCAUGUAGAAGAGCAAUAAUAGUAGAUUCUCCUAGCACUAGCUACUAUACUAUGUCCCCUCCCAUACCUUAGCCCAUCAAUCUCCUAACCACUUCUAUGAAUCGAGGAUGGGCAUAGGUGAGUAGUAUCACUCAUCACCAUGUAAUUAUGGUGCGUCCACUAUCGAUCCAUAUAGGAUGGUGCUCAACUUGGGCUCUUAACACACUCACAGAUUCCUAGAAUAUAUAUACUCGGCCAAAAAGUUGUCACCGCCAAUGUUGAUAUUUUGGGUCUAUUACCUAGGCAUUAGAAGUAUUAAGUGGUCACUCCAACAAGUUUGAAUUUUUAUUUUAAAAUGAGCUUUAAAAGGCCAGUUGAGAGUGGACCUGGUCCAGGCUUUUUUUUUUUUUUUUUUUGCAAUAAUGUGUAGGAAAUAAUACGCAAUCAUUUAAGAGACACAAGUCCAUCCAGUUGGUACGAAUGAUAUUGAUAUUGACGAAGACGCAGAAAGCAACAUGUCAAGCCAUCUUUAAAAUUCGGGCAAAAAUGAAAGCAACAUCAUAUUUUGCUUGUUAUCAACUUGUGAUCCGGAUCUCGACCCCGAGGAACAGUGAUCUCAAAUUAAAGAGCACUUUGUAGAAAGGACACAGUUACAAAAUUGCUGGUUGAACACUGUUUCUAAAGCGAGAACUUAAACACGACAUGUUUAUCUAAAAGUCAAUGUUGUGUCUAAUAAAGCGACUAAUAGUUAACCCAAUUUAAAUCGACCACCAACAUACUACGGAAUUUACCUUACUCAUAGCUAGUGAGAAACUACCAUUACCUAUUUUAUUUUGUUCUCAAAUUUUAAAUUAUUCAAUACUAAUUAGAUAGUGGAGAAUGGAGAAUAAAGUAGGUGAUAAUAAAAAUGGAUGGUUAUAAGGGUGCAGUGCAUAAGUUGUACUGCAAUAUUGCAAGCUCUUUGGGAAUGAAUUACAGCUUACUGACCUGAAAGCUGAAGUGUGAUGGACUCGCCGCUUUCCGGUGAUCGCAUAGUGCUGCGGCUCCAGCUCGUAGAGCUCCGCCGCAUCAUCUGUCCGCUUCAGCCGGCGGUUUGCAAAAGCGGCGGCCAAAACCCUAGCUAUCACCUUCGUCGGGCUCUUCGUCCUCCUCAUCUUAUGCCGGUAGUUCGGCGUGCCUAGAUAGAAUAUCAGCAGAGAGAGCAUGAGCCCGGCCGUCGGAAUCCCGUAGCCGAGCCCCCACCCGACGUUCUCCUGCACGUAGACGAGCCCGAGCGAGGCCGCUAGCCCUCCGGUGAACGAGCUGAACAUCCACCAGUUGAAGAAGGACUCCUUCAGGCGCCGCUCGUGCGGGUCGAAGUCGUCGAACUGGUCCGCGCCGAACGUUGAUAUGUUCGGCUUCGUCCCGCCGGCGCCGACGGCCAUGACGUAAAGCGCCGCAUAGACGACCACGACCUGGGACGGCGAACUUUUGAGAGACUUGAGGGAGACGGCGACCGUCAAGAGCAUCAUGCCCUGCACAAGAAAAAAAAAAAAAAAAAAUUUCUCUAUAACAGAUAUUAUAUAUAUAUUUUUUAUAACAAUAUUUAAGCCAAACAAUUUUAUCUUAUAUAAAAUUAAUAAUUUGAUUGAAAUUUAUUAUAUUAUUCGUAAUUAGACACAUAAUAUUUUUUAUGAUUUGAUUGGAUGGGAGUUGUACACAUCCCAUGUAAAUUUGGGCAAAAGAGGUUGUCAUGAGAGAGAGUGUAUAUUUUGAAUAUUGAGCAGUACCAUAUUUGCAAUUCAACAAAUGUUAUAAUUCUAUAAUGCUCUAGAUCAAAGCUCAAAUUUUCUUUACUAGUCUAAUUAUUAUUUUUAUUUUUUACUAAAUAAUAACAAAAAAUUUAGGCACUGGAGAGAAUGUAUAUAUAUAUAGAAUUGUAAGAUUUUUUUUUUAUACUAUAAACUUAGCAUUUGUCAUAAGAAAUUUGUGGCCAAUGGGGCCACCGUGCCACUAAAAAAGUGUGGCGUGGCAUUGGUCUAUAGAGAUGUACAGGGGGAUUCCUGAACUUCUGGAGCAUAAAUAAAUAAAAUAAAUAAAUAGUAACUUAGAUCCAAAAGAAAUUAAAGUGUCCAUUGAAUUAAGUAAAGGGUACCAAUAAUUGAGUUAUGUUGUCACCUGAUCUUUUCCACUUCAUUUGCAAACAAAUUAAAAGCUAAUGAGGCCCACUAUCUAUUACGUAAUAUCUAUUUUCUGUUUUUCUCAUGGGUAAGCUACAGUCAGAGUUAGCAUCUUUGGCGUGUCUCAAAAGUUUCCCCAAUUAUUGUAGGAGGUGAAUUAGUAUUUAUGCGUUUUAGCAUAUUUGUAGCUUAGAUAAGUAUAAUUUAAUUUUAAUAUAACAUAGAAAUACUAAUUCACCACAUCAUUACUCGCGCGGUCCUUAUCAUGUAAUUAAUCGCCAUCGAUCACGUUGAAUAUAAGCUAAUAAAGUUUGUUUGAAACGGAACAAACACUUUAGGGCGGCGGUUUGUCCUCUGGUGUAGAAUAAAAAUCAAAAUAAAUUGCAUGAAUCUUUCGUGAACAUUGACAAAACCAUCCGCUAUAUAAUCCAAUCAUCGAUAUAGUACAAAAAACCAAUCAAAAAUCAUGUGUCACGUUUCUUAUCUCAAUUUGAUCUUUCCACUUUUUGGAAAAAAAGAAGAAUAUUCCGCAAAACAACCUUUUGCAUUACUAGGUUAUGUUUAUAUUUCAGAAUAAUGGAUGACUAAGUUAACUUCACAUGUAGUUUGCUUUUAUGACAACGAAAAGAAAGCAACAAUUAAUGAUUACAUUUUUUGGGUAACAAUCAUGAUUACAAGGAUAAGUAAAAGUUUAUUUGAGAGAUACCAUAAUUACAUAUUAUAUAUUUGUAAUACUCCGAAAAUAUGUAUAGAGUUACUAUGCUAUCGGAAGUAUAAAAUAGUUGGUGCUUCCGAUUUUUAGCCCCCUAGCUAGGAUUGAGUGAUCCCUAUUGGUUAAUAAUAUUAAUCCAAUGAUUAGAAAUGAUCAAUGGGGUUGAUCUAAGCGCUAAAAAAUCGGAAGCAUCAACCACUUUAUAGUUUCGAUAGCAUAGUAGCUCUACUCCCGAAAAUAUUAUAUAUUUUACAUUUAGAAUAAAAAAAUUGUUAUUAACUUACCAAGCCAAUUAGGUCGGAAGAUUGUUGAGAACUAAUAAUUUUCAUUAAGUAUGAAAAUAAGAAAAUUUUCUAACCUAUAAUAGUCUAGUAUUUAUGUUAUCUAGAAAUCUAUUAUAAUUUUAUUACUUCACUAACAUUUUUUACAAUUACUCAACCAAAAUUAAAUGCUGAUAAUUUGAAUAUUUUCAAUGAAAAAUAUGAAGGAUUCUCGGAAUAUUACAAACUGUAAACCACACUGGACCCUAAACCUCAUCUACUUUCUGUCUGCCGCGAACGAACCGGCCCCGCAGUAGGUGUUUCUAACUCAAUUUGAAUUUUAAAUUUCAAAUUUUUUUUGAUCCCAACACUUUCCUGCAUUUGGCAAGGGGGCAACUUAAAUUAGUUUGUAAAUUUUUGGUGCACAAAGUCAUGCUUUUAUUUUUGUUGUCCGCGAAUCAGUUUCAUUUGAAUCAAAAGGAAAAUUCGUCGCAAUCUAUAAGUAGGUAAGUCAACUUGCUAGAUACUAUAGUAGCAAAUGAAUUGGUGCCGUUUCGUUCAUUUUUUUUUUUUAUAAGAAAUGAGCUUAGCUGAAAAUAUUAAGCAACUAGAUUUCGAACUUAAAAUUUCGGAUACCAACUAUUAAAAAUCUUGCCAUUUACGCUGGGGACCACCGGUAGUAGCAAAUGAAGUACUAUUGCAAUAGUACAUAUACUUACCAAGACAUAGAUGAGCGAAGAGAUGGUGAAGGUCCAAAACCGGCCCAAGUAGGUGUCGGCGAUGUAUGCUCCGAUGAUCGGAGUGAUCCAAACUGAGCCGGACCAGUUGCUAACAUUCCUUACCGACGAGACCGUCUCCUCGUGCAACUGUGUUGUCAAGUAGACCACAAGAUUUGAGGCCACUCCAUAGAAAGCCAUUCUUUCAAACGCUUCAUAGCCUGCUUGCACGAAUCAAAUUCCCAAAAUUAAUCAAAUUCCAAAUCAAAAGCCAAGCUUAAUUAAAUAUAUAGCACAAUUAAAACCUUUACACGUAACUUCCAAUUUGAUCUCUUCAACCCUCCAAGAAAACAUACAAGAACAUUAUAUGGAUCCAUGACAAAAUAUGUAACAAAAGGAGCUAUUUUGAGUUUGGUACACAAAUAAAUUCAUUAGUUCACUUACUUAAGUAUUGUUUACUGAAUUUGCACAUAAGAGAGGGAUCCUAUAUUUAGGCUAGUUAUAUAUGCACAUGAUCCUAGAGAGUGAACUCAAUUUGUCACUUGAGAGUAUAUAAUUAAGAAAGCUUUUGUAAUUAACUUUAUUUCAUAAGAAGAAUUUAUCGAAUUGGUGAGAAACUAAGCUAGCUAAAACUAACCUACUAAAUAUGCACAAGCUCUCCAUCUCCCGGUCCGAGAGGCAAGGACCGGGCGGCCGCGGAGAUCGACGGAGCCAUCUUGCGUAUAACCUUUGGUCUCCAUGAGAGCAACUGCGCAAAUUGAAGGUCUCCGUGAGCUACAUGUAUAUGAAUUAAAGAAAGAGUGGAUAAUAUAUAUAGUUCGAAUUUUGAGCAAGUGAUGAGAGAAAAUGGGAGCUAGGAGGAGUUCUUUUGUCAAAGGUUUCUUUGAUGGAGAAAGAGAUAUAUAGGACUAAGGGAGAGAUAUGGGUGCCAGCUUCCACUGUACACAGUAGGCCCCCUUUGUAACGUGCCACUUAAACAAGCUGCGGAUGAGCAACACACAUACAUUCAUACAACUUAGAUGACUUUUACAUUCAGUCGACUAGUUUGACUGUCCACAUUGUGAGGGGAUGAGCAAAAAAACAAAAAAGAGCGUGGCUGUUUUCAUACCGUCUACUUUGCUUAAUCUUUUUAAAAUAAAUUUAGUUAGAAAUAUGAAAAAGCUAGACCACGUGGAACUAAUUAACUAGAGACCUCGGUUACUGAUCAUCAAGAUCUUUGCCAUUUAUGAUAGAAAGUCGAUGAUGUAGUAAAAACUUCAAACUACAAUCAUGAUGAUUUUAAUUAGAGGAAUGCUUCAAUACACCAUAAAUAUUAAAAUCUAAUUCUAAAUUAGUAAAGAGUAUAAUUGGAUUUUAUAUGAAGUAACAUGUUGAAUAGGUUACUGAUUUGAAUUAGUUAAUAUGACAAUAUUGAAAAAAGAAUUAGUAGUAUAUAUCAAAUUUGUCAGCAUCCUAUAAAUAUUAAAUUUGUGUUUUAUAUUUAAAAAAUUGAAUUUGAUUUAUAAUUAAGUUUUAAAUGUUGUUUUGAAUUUAAAUUUACAAUUUGGUCGUAAUUUGAAAUCCAACUAUUGUUGUAGACAUUUGAAAAAGUCACAGUAUUUUUAGUUGGAUAAAACUAGUUUUGUAGACCAAAAUAUUUUACAAAAACCAAGAUACCCUUAAAAUAGACCUAUGCUUCAAUAGUAGAUCACAUCUAGAGUCAUAUUAAAUUUAAACCAUCUACUAAGAAAAAUCCAAGAUUGACUUUUAUAAAGUAGUAACCUGCACAUUGGGUUACCAACCAAAAUCAAUAGUAAAAGCAAUAUUGGAAAGUAAAUAUUAGCCAAUCACCAAAUUAGAUAACAUUCAACAAAUAUUUAUUUUCUUCUUUAAUUUUGUUACUUACCAAAUUAGAUAUGGCUAAUUUGAUAAGUAACAAAUCUUCAUAGAUUGAAUUUAAAAUUUAAUUUGAGCUUAAAUUUUAUAAUUGUAUAUAGUAAAUUCAAAUUUAAAUUUAAAUUUAAAUUUCAGAAGAAAAAAAUUAUAUUUAACUGAAUAGUACGUACAUGUCAAUUCAAAUUGUUAAUUUAAUAUUAAAUUACCAUGGAAGUUUAAAUAUGUUAACCUACUUUAAAUUUUAGGUUGUAUUGUAUGUAUAAUUAAAGCUAACUUUUAUUAUUUAUUUAAAUAAAACAUUUCUAUUUUUUAAAUUAAAUUUAAAUUGUUUGUUCGAUAGUGAAAACAUCAUUAAAGUUCAAAAAUAUUUAUCAAAAUUAAAAUUAAAAUUUAGAUUUAAUUUAUAUUAUAGUUGAAAAGUAAAUUUUAUUAACUAUUUAAACUAAAAGUUUCUAUCGAUGAAAAUUAACCUUAAAUUAUAAAUUUGAAUAUCGAUAAAUUACAUUCUUUCUAAUUGAAUUUUAGCUUUAAUUUGAUCACCCAAUUUAAUUUAUUAAGAUUUUUGUCUCGAACUUUGUAGUUUAUUACAUUCAGGUCUUACAAUCCAAUUUAAUUGACAGAUUAGUAAUGUGUUGAUGAUACAAUUGUGAUGUGAUUGUGUUAUAGUUGAUGGACCGUUGGACUCUAUGCAAUAAUCUAAAAGAUUUAGUUUGAAAUUAUAAUUUACUAAAGUUAGUCAACCAAAUUAUUAUGUUUUUCAUAAUUGAGAAGAAAAAUGUGUAAUUUAUACUGGAACUUGUGAAGAUAAUAAAAGCUUAAUUUCUUUUAAUUGAGGUAAUGAACUUAAUUAGUUAAAACUAUUGAUCGCAAGGUCAAAUUCAAAAUUUUUUAAACAUUUACUUGGGGACAAUAUUUCAUAUUCUAUUACUAAGAGAUUGCAUAAUAUAACUUGUUAUUUGCAAUAUUUUAUAUUUGAAUAUUAUUUUGGAUGCAACAAAAAUUUAAAUUUGCGACAAAUUUAAAUUUUUAUUUAAUACUCAAAUUGUAUAAAUAAAUUUAAAACUGGCUAAACUUUCAAGUUCUUAUUCAAGUCAGGCUGGAGAAUAACGAAUAAGCUAAAUCCUUUCAAUAAUGCAUCAUUUUAUAUUUUGAAUUUGAAUAUAAUACAUUAGUAAAGAAAAUCUAAUUUAGAAAAGGUAAUUAUACAAAGAUGGAAUAUUAAAGGAUAAGAACCAAGAAAGAUGGAAUAUUCUGGACUUACAAAGAUGGUAUGUUAUGAGGAUUGGAAUUUACGAAAAUACCCUCAGUGCAAUUCCAUGUAAUGAGAAAGUUUUUGCCCUUAGUAAGGGGGAUGACUGGUACCGAUGAUAACAAGUGCCGGUCACCUCUUUAUUAAAGAUGCACCACUACCGUCCAUUUUUAAAAAAUUAAGGAUUAAAAUUUGUUUGGUGUAUAGGAGUAUUGUUCUACAUUUCAAGGCAAAAAAUAUUACACAAAUAUUCAACUUAGUAUGGCACGCAUAACUGUUGGAGAAAUGCCGCACAAAAAAAUUUAAUUGUGAUUAAAAUUUAACUAAUUUGUGAUGAAAAUUAAGUAAAUCAACUUACAGAUAAUCGCUAAAUCCCAAAAAAAAAUUGCGGAAGAAGAAUAUCAAACAAUUGAUCCGGAAGCGUGUGAGGCACUGCUUUAAGGCCUAUUUCCGUCCUUCGUGCGGGAUUGACCGGAAACACCGUCUCAAGAUACAACCGAAAUUCCUCCUCCUACGAGUACGAACGUGAAAGAAGUUGAUGAAUACUUUUUCAACACCUAAUGAUAAAAAAAUCAAACAAAAUAAAAAUUAAAUUAGAAAUUAAAUAAAGUUUCUCUUCUUUUUUUUUUCAUUGGCUCCCUUUCAGCAAUGUUCAUCACGGAGGAACAGUGCAAUCCAAUGAAUAUAUAAUGGAGAGAGAAUAGAACGUUAGAAACCCAACGUUUCCAACAUUCCACUUAAUUCAUUUCUUAAUGUGGCUUAAAGAAGGAAUAAAUUUAAUUUAAUCCAUCCUAUUAAUGAAUAUAAUAAAAGACAAUAAAUGAGAAUGAUUACAAAAUUAAAUGACAUUUGAAGAUUUUGGAUUUUUAACCAACAAUAACAACAAUAACAGGAUGAAUAGAAGCUUAUAAAUUGGCCACGUCACAAAAUUGUGGUAGUAAAUCUAUACUAGUGUAGGUACCCGCGCGAUGCGGCGGGUAGUUACUGCUAAAGUAAAAAAUUUAUAAAUAAUAAAAUAUGAACAUAAGUAAAUAAAAUUAUAGUAUACCAGUAUUAAAAUAUUAGUUCACAAUGGAAAGCAUUGUAGUAAAAUUUUAGAAAGAGUAAAAUAUCAACAAAAGUAAUAGUUAUAUGCAGUGAGUUAUAGCCAACACAAAAACUUGAGUGACAGGCAAUAAAAGCAAAGACAAUAGGAGAGGCCACAGCAAAAUUUUGAAAAAAAAAUCACUUCUCCUUUAGAUAUAAUUGAACUGCGCUGCUGAGGAGGAAAAAUCAAAGGAACCUUCCUAGCAGUUUACCGGAUCGACUCGGACUGUCCAUGGAACGUUCCAUAUCGUCAAUCUCUGCAGGUUUGAAUCGAUUUACGUCGCCAUAUCAAAUCAAACAUUAAAAAAAAAAAAGAAAAAAAAGAAGAAGAAAGCAAUUCAAAUUAAUAUUUUGUUGUGCAUACUUCACAGCCUACUGUUCUAUUCCUUAAACAAAUGAAAUAGAAGGAAAUACUACCAAUCGAAUGGGAAAUUAGAAAAAACGAAGCAAAUAUUUUGAUGCUACAAAAAGAAUAGGGCAAUAACAUGAGAAGUAGACCAUCAAGAGAAAAUAAUAAUCUGGGGUAAGGGAAGAAAGGGUGAUAACGAUUAACAGUGGAGGUUAUUUAUUUAUUAAAAAAAUUAAAAAAUUAAUUUUAAUUGUUAGGAAGUAAUGGAUAAACCCCGUAAAUAAAAGGAAGUAAAAAGAGGAAUGGCAAUGUAGGGAGGUGAUGGAUAUUAUUUAUUUAAAUGACUAAAAAAUUAAUUUUAAUUGUUAGGAGGUGAUGUAUAAACUCUGUAAAUAAAGGGAAGUAAAAAUGGGAAUGGCAAUGUAGGGAGGUGAUGGAUAAACUCCGUAAAUAAAAGAAAGUAAAAAUACGGAUAUAUUAAUUUAAUUUACGGAUGAAAGUUAUUUACUAGGAAAUUACGAAAAUAACAGAUGUUAAUCAAUCAUAAAACCCAAAGAAAAAUUCUGAAGAUUUUAACUCAAAAAUAACUAGCAGCAGAGGUGGUUCACACCCGUGAUACGGCUGUCCAAGCUGAAAUCUCGGUUCGCGCACAGCGCGCCGCAGCUGCUCUCAGAGUGGGCGGAGUUCGAGCUGGUACUAAACUAGUUUUUAAAGAUAUAAAGAGAUUAAAUCAAAAGAGCUAAUACUAAAAAGUCUUUCAAAAAAAAACCAUAAAACAAACUUGAAAAAACAACCUUAUUCUCCUUCUAUCCUAAAAUAAUUUUCUAAAUAAAAAAAAAUGGACUUCUUUGUAUUUCAUAUUCGAAUAUAAAAAUAAAAGAAGUAUAUCUAUUAAUGCCUUGGUACAUUUAAAGUCUAAGUAAGUCAAAGAUUGCUAUAUUACCAUUUGAUAGAACUAAAAAUAUAAGUUUCAACUCAUAAGUUUUGAGUUUCAUUGAGUCUUAUCCAAAGCUUCGAGAAAACACGACAUUAAACACGUUCUUUUAAACAUGAAAACAAAAGACCCAAACGUCAGAUAAAACUCAAUUAACUUUCAAUUACAACAGAUAAAGUUUUUAGAUAAACCGUUUCAUUAACCACAAAAAUAAAAAUAAAUAACAAGACAAAGGAAAGAGAUAGAUAGAAAUACGAUCUUAUUUAUCUAUAAAACUUCUAGUAAUCUUUUACAAAACUAAUAAGAUAUUCGACACAGUACGAUACUUCUAUGAAGAAAAGACUCUCCUUAACUCCCUUCGCAGUCAGAACUACCAACCGAGGACCUUAUAAGAAANUAGUGGGAAAGAAGGGAAUGGGAGUAGAAGGGUGAGGGAGGGGGUGCCACGUGGCAAAAGUAUUGAGGAUUCAUAUUAUGUAAUAGAUAUCUAUAUAUAGUUAUAUUAUAUUUAUUAUAGUUAUGAAUUGGGAAAACAAAAAUGGUAUAAGGGAUUUGUUAGAUGUGACUCGAAAUCUACUAUCGAUUUAAGUUCGGGUUUACGACUCGCCGACAGCUUCGCGGUGCGACCAAUUUGGACAAGAAAAUUAUGGAGGAAAAAUGAAUGUCUGUGGUGGGUAGCGGAGGGCUCGGACCGACUGGCCCGAGCCCGUUAUGAGUUUUCCUUUUCGUUUUUGCCCUAGAGGCGUGUGAUCGUGGUUGGUUGUAACCUGAAGAACAUUGUAUUCCCUUUUUCGUUCCAUAGUGAAGUUCUCUCCUCCAUCGCCCGUGGUUUUUCCCUGCAAAGAAUUUUCCACGUAAAUCUGUGCCUCUUUAUUUUCUGCUUGUGGUUUGAUUGUUUUUUGUGUUCGUCAUUUCGUUUCCGUUUGUGCGGUUGUCGUAACAGGNUUGUGGUUUGAUUGUUUUUUGUGUUCGUCAUUUCGUUUCCGUUUGUGCGGUUGUCGUAACAGGAUUUCACCAAUACUUGAUUUAGUUUUUUUUUUUUUUUUUUUGCUUUUCUUCUGUGGGACCCACUUCUCUCUGGUUCUCAAUUUUUUUUUUUUGCAAUUAAAUUUUCGAAUCUCUUGAUUUCAUUAUAAUAAAAUGGCACUAUUAAAAGAGGUUUUAGAGUUAACGAUAUUAAACUUUAUUUUUUACUUAAGUCCUAAAAAUAAAAAUUUAAAAUUUUGAAUUCAAAUUCGGAAUUAAUCUUAAAAUUAAUUCAAAAAUUUAUGAAUAUAAAAAAGGUUGUACUCAUAAAAAUAUAGUAGCUGAACUAUAUAUAUAUAUAUAUAUAUAUAUAUAUAUAUAUAUAUAUAUAUAUAUAUAUAUAUAUAUAUAUAUAUAUAUUAAUGAUAAUAAUUUACUGUAAUAAUAGCUUUCCGCAUCGCAGGGCCUUAACUAGUCUCAAGAUGAUAAGGCAAUGGUUGUAUAGUCAAGUAAAAUGAUAUAGUUUGGAACUUUGGAUUGGACAUAUUAUAGAUAUAUAAAUUGUCACGGAAUCUAAGAUGGCUUAUUCAAUCCCAUAAAUAAAAUAUAUCUUAUUAUUUUAGCAAAAUUACAAAAACCAUCCUUUUCUUUUCUCUCUUUUUUUAAUUAUCUUCCUACAUUUAUAAUUAUUUUAAUUCCAUUUAAACCUAUAUAUAAUAAUAAAAUUGUAACACAAGAGCACAUUAUAUUAACAUACACUCUUGUUUAGAAUUAUGAUUUUUAAGGUUAAUUAAUUGGUUGUUUUCAAGAAACAAUUUUUUUAAAAUUUUUGGUGUUUUGAGUAAGAACAUAUUUAAUAAGCUUUAUUAUCACAAAUAAAUAAUCUGUACCCAAUUAUUGUUAAAAAUUAAAUUCUGCAAUAAUAAAGACUAUUUUUUGUAAAUCUUAGUAGUGACCUAUUAUGCAUAUUUGACUCUUUAUUGGCCCGUAUAUAUGGUCCACUAAUAAAGGCACUAUACUACUUCCUCAUGGAUUGUACUAUUACCAUUCUUUUGGAAAUGUUUUGCCUGGGCAAAGUGAUCUAGAGUCAAUUGGAACACUUUAGGGCCCAUUUUGCCUUUCUUGUGAAUAUGCACUUAACUAUCAUACGAUUUUAUUUUGUUUUACUCUAUAAAGUAUCUAUCUUCAAUCAACUAGUAUACCAAAAUGAUAUUUUUUUAACAAACCACGUGACGGUACAAAAUAACACUUUACUGUUUUAGAUCACAGUCUAUGAGUACUAAGCUUACCUGUCAUGUAGGAGGUCAGAAACUGUAUGAUUUUAGGAAUAUUCAGUCGGACUCUCUUUUAGGAGUCUACAAAAUUAAACAAUUGAUGAACUUUUGAGAGCAUUUUCUUUUAGCAAAUUCGCAUAACUGUAAUCCUGUGUCGUCCAUUCCGAGACCUAUGUUGUCUCACUCCUGUCGCUUAGUUCAUAUUUCUAAUGAAUAAAACGGAUAGCAUGCUAUCCUUCCUUAAAAAAAAAAAAAACACUUUAUUGUUCUAUGAUUUGUUAUCUAUCUUCCUCUGGUUGUCUUAGAAGAAAUAUUACUUUAUUAUUCUUUUUACUUAUAAAUUCUUAGCUGAUAUAAUCCUUUUUACCAAUAAAUUCUUAGGUGAUGUAAAAGUGAAACUAUAGAAUAAUCAAAGUAAAAAAUAAGUUAAACUGAAGGGACGCAAACUAAAUUAAUGUUACUUUUUUCUUGUUUGAUUCAAAGACACGGGAUAAUUAAUUUCCGCACAGUUCAUUAAAGAGAAUAUUAGCAACUUUUGAGAUGAGCUCCAAUUUAAACCUUUAAAUUUUGAGAGCAUUUGUAAUUUGAGUAAUUCUGAUAUUUUUUGAGUCAUUUCCUUAACUAUCCCAAAAUAUCAACACCCAAACAAUAAUAUAUUAUAAAUUGAGUCCAACUGCUAUAUUAUCAAUAGUAUAGAGGCUUUCGUACUAUCAAAUUGUUUUUAAUGAUACGGCUUUCAAAUCAACGUUUGGCUCCGUUAGACUUGAUCUAUGCUAUUAAAAGUAUUUGAAACUAAAUUUCAUGAUUUUUCGAUAUUAUUUACCUAUCAAACGAAUAGUUUAAAAAUGAACAGCUGAAAAUAAAAAUAUCAUAAAACAUAAUGAUAAAAUAUUUGAAUUUAAGAUCAGAAGUACUAAUCUUAUUCUAAAUACUAAAAAAAAUUUGUAAAAAUUUUAUUAGAUUUGAAUUGCUUUACACCGUUAAAUUCACAAACACAUCACAUCGACCAUUAAAAUUAUAAAUCUUGAGACCUUUUGAUCGCUAGCUAAAUAAUGUCGAAAAAUUAUGAAAUUUAGUUUCUAAAUACUUUCAAUAGUAUAGCUCAAAUACAACAGAACCAAUCGUCAAUUUGGAAGCUAUAUCAUUGAAAACAACUUUCUAUCGACAAUAUAACAGUCUAACUCCUACAUCAUGAACCAUUUUGAGUUGACUAUUCAAACUUUCAAAAUUUUAAUUUUACUAACAAAUCUUUCAAUUUGUUUGAUUUGAAUUGGUCAACAGUAUAUUCACUUUAAAAUCUGAAUACUUUAUUUAUCUUUCCAAGUUUAGCCGGUAUACUUUAUAUAAUUUUCACCACUAGAAAUUCAUUAAAAUAAUAAUUAGCAACUUAGAUUUAAAGUCAAAAUUUUAUUAAGCAGCUCAAAUAAAACAAAUUGAAAAAAAUUAAUUAGUAAAAUUAAAGUUUUAAAAUAUUAAAUAACCUACUCCAAAUAGAUCACUAACUCAAGAUAAUUUCUCUACGUUUUUCACUUAAAAAUCUUAAAUUGCUAACAACACAAAUUAUCCUUGUAAUAUAUAUAUAUAUAUAUAUAUAUAGAGUGAGGCUACUAUGCUAUCGGAAGCACGGNCUCCUUUGUAUAAGAAAUCACACUUUAGUCUCUCAAGAACCCUACAAAGCAACAGUUGUAAUAGAAAUAGCAAAAUGAAUACAAUUGCAGUUCCCUUUCUAACUUCUCUUAUCUUCUUCCUCAGAUUCUCUCUCCCUUUUUUUCUCUUUCCCUUUCAAUGGAUUUCCUAUAGUACUACCAUAGUACUACCUCAACAAUAGGAAAGGAGAAGAUCCAUAGUUGAGUUAGAAGGAAUCGGCUCUCGGAUCUUCAUUGAUACCAUCUCUGCUCAGCGAAGAUUCAUCAUCGGGGGUUGCGUCUCAUAUCGGGGCAUAACAAGAAUUCUUUUCAUAUCCAUACUAACUGAACAGUAAAUUGAGAAAGGAAGCUUCACAUAGGAGAAAAAGAAUUAAGAAAUGGACAAUGCUGUUUAAGGAUUAAAGUGGUGAGGCAGAGGGUCGUGCUGAGUGCUUGCUGGCAUGGUUCCGGUAUGUGCCAUACCGAUGCGUGCUGUAGGCACAAUAUCUAUGUGAUGACACACUGGCAUGAAAAUUAUAUAUAUAUAUAUAUAUAUGGAGUCCGGCUACGGUGCUUGUAAAAAUACAAAGCACUUCGUGCUUGUAAAUUUUUUACCGUUAGAUCUCUUCAUUUGAUUAUUUUUACCCGUUAGAUUAUACUAUUCAACCAACCACCCACUAAAUCUUAGGGGGCCCACAUCAUUCUAACCGCACAUCUCUUAAUUUAAAGAUCGAAAAUUUAUAAGCACCAAUGACUUGAUACUUUUAAAUGACUUGAUAUUUUUAAAAGCAUAGGAGCAUAUUUCUAUAUAUAUAUAUGUAUCCUCUUUUUGGAUACGUAUCUUGUGAUAAAGUUGGUAGCCACAUCUCCCAACCCCACUGGAGUGGAAAAACUGGUGGCCCGCGCGUGAACGUCAACGCAGAUGAUCGAAAUUCGAAAAGAUUUCCACCUUCCAAAUCUGGCACUCCGAACAGUGUAAAUCCUGCCCCCCCGCCAUCAUCGUUCAUCAUUGUGCUCCUCCUCCUCUACACCAAACGUGUGGUCGAGAUUUGCUCGUCCAACUCUCUCUCUCUCUCUCUCUCUCUCUCUCCUGAGUGGCCUCCAUCACACACCGCACUAAUAAAUGAGUUGGUGAACUAUUUUGUUACAUACUACCCUUCUUAUUGGUGGUUAAAUUUUGAGUGGAGAGUGGAUAAAUGGUGGUGUGCUCACUUUGCUCGCGACACAAUUAAUGAAACUCAUCAAUUUUAAUAUCCAAGUAUAAUUAAACUAUCAUUAUAGUAUACAUAUAUAUAUAUCACCUCAUUGGUACUUUCAGGUUUCUAGCUCCUAAAUCUACUUCUUUAUUACUAAUAGUCUUUGAAUCAAACACUAUUCCUCCUACCACCAUCAUCAAUCUUACAUUUCUCUAUCUAAUGUUUAAAAACUCAAAAGCACUAUCUCAUUGGUGCUUUUGAGAGUAUUCUAGCUCAACUAUAUAUAUAUAUAUAGUUGAGCUAGAAUACUCUCGAUAGUAAACGGAACAUUUUACUAUCGAGUUGUUUUCGAUGAUAGAGCUUCCAAAUUGACGAUCGGCUCCGUUGAACAUGAUCUAUACCACUUAAAGUGUUUAGAAAUCAAAUUUCAAAUCUUUUCGACAUCAUUUGCCUAAUGAUCAAAGGGUUUCAAAAUUUGUAAUUUUAAUGGUGGAUAAGAGAUGUUUUUCUCGUUUAACGGUGUAAAGAUAUCCAAAUCAUUGAAUUUUUGUUUAGAAAAUCUUUAAACUAUUUAAAAACAAGAUCUAUACUUUGAUCUUGAUUAUAAGACUCCUAUCAUCAUUUUUUAAAGAAUAUUCAUUUUCCAACAUUCAUUUUCUGUUCACUAGAUGGAUAAAGAACAAUAUCGAAAGUGCGUGAUUUGAUUUCUAGGUAGUUUAAAUGGUUUAGAUCAUAUUUAACGGAGGCCGAUCGUCAAUUUGGAAGCUCUAUCAUCGAAAACAACUCGAUAGUAAAACGCUCCGUUUACUAUCGAGAGUAUUCUAACUCAACUCUAUAUAUAUAUAUUAUAUAUAUAUAAUAUAUAUAUAGAGAGGAGAGAGAGAGAGAGAGAGAGAGAGAGAGAGAGAGAGAGAUAUAUAUAUAUCUAUUAGUAAUAAAUUAGCUCCGUUGUCAUUCAUUUAUUUUUUAUGAUGGAGCCUCCAAAUCGAUGAUCAGCACCGUUGAAUAUAAUCUAUACCACUUGAAUUAUUAAGAAAUCAAAUCUCGAAAUUUUUUCAAUAUUAUUGGCCUAAUAAUCAAAAAGUUUCAAAAUUUAUAAUUUUAAUGGUCGAUAUGAGAUUUUUCUUGGUGUAAAGAUAUCUAAAUCAAUUAAAUUUUGGUUAGAAAAUUUUUUAAACUAAAAAUCUAUACUCUUGAUCUUAAUUAUAAAACUCCUAUCAUCACAUUUUAAAGAAUAUUUAUUUUCAGUCGUUUAUUUUUAUUUCCACUUGAUGUACAAGAGAACAAUAUCAAAAAAAAUAUAAAUUUGAUUUCUAGAUACUCUAAGUGACAUAAAUCAUGUUCAACUAUGUCGAUUCUUGAUUUGGAUGCUCGAUCAUUAAAAACAAAUUGGUGGUAAUGAAACUCGUUUGCUACCUAUAGUAAUUGAGCUUUCCUCUCUCUCUCUCUCUCUCUCUCUCUCUAUAUAUAUAUAUAUAUAUAUGAUUUCUAAAACUUUUGAAAUAAUAUAGUGAAUUGUUAUCUUAAAAAUUUGUUCAUUUUCCAUUUUGUUUUUUCCACCUAAAUGGACAAUGGUCUGCGGUACACCCCGAGUUUCUAAUUAUAAAUAGCGCAUCGGGAUAACAAAGUAAAACAACGCAUGUUGAAACUUGAAACAUGCAAAUUAAUUAACACGCCAAUAUUGCAGAAACCUUUCUAUAUAUUAUGUGCGUAGAAUUUGUUUCUAAUAUUCCCUACCUCGAUCAUACAGUUAGCUAGCUAGAUGCCCUAGCUUGUACUUGUCUCCAAAGUGAUUUUCACAUUCAGGAAGAUUUAUAGAUAGAUCAUCUUGCUAUUUAUCAUGACUUGGAAAAAAUCAAUGUAAUUACAAUGAGAAAUGCUUUUUUUUUUGAGAAAAUACAAUGAGAAAUGCUUCAAUACGUACAUGCACCGGCUCAAUUAAAUCCAGCCAUUCGUAUUUUAAGGAUGAUAUUGACUUUUACAUAAUAGUAACCUACUCAACAGGUUACCAUUCAAGAUCAAUAAUAAGAAUAAUAUUGGAAAAUAAAUACUAUCUAAUUACCAAAUUUUAUUAACCCCAAACAAAUAUUUGUUUCUUAAUUAUUUAAUUUUGUUACUUACCAAAGUAGGCAGUAGCUAAUUUGAUAAGUAAUAAACCUUCAUAAAAUUGAAUUUAAUAUUCAAGUUUUGCUUAAACUUUAUAAUUGUAUACAUUAAAUUCAAUUUUAAUUUUAAUUUUAGUUUUCAGAAAGAAAAAAAUUAUGUUUAAAUGAAUAGUGCAUUUCAAUUCAAAUUGUUAAUUUGAUAUUAAAAUAAAAUGAAAGUUCAAAUAUAUUAACUUAGUUUAAAUUAUAAAUUAUGCUGUACUUAUAAACCCAACUUUUAUUAUUUAUUUAAAUAAAAUACUUCUAUUUUUAAAAUUAAAUUCAAAUUGUUCAUUCGAUUGUAAAAACAACAUUAAAGUUCAAAAAUAAUGAUUAAAAUUAAAUUUUAAAUUUAGAUUUAAUUUAUAGUUAAAAAAUAAAUUUUGUUAACUAUUUAAACUAAACGUUUCUAUUAAGCAAAAUGGACAUUGGUUUCUCUCUACAAAAAAAAGAAAAAUAGAAAAAAAACAGUGGGUUCCGAUCGAGGAAGAUGAUGCUGUGGAUAGAAAAUUUUCAAAAAUGUAAUGAGAUGUUCUAUAUUUACUAAAGGAGUAUUAUGGAAAAUUGGGGAUGAGAAUAAAAAUUUACAAAAAAGCCCUUGAUACUAACUUUACUAUGGAAAAUUGGGGAUGAAAAUAGAAAUUUACAAAAAAGCCCUUGAUACUAACUUUACAUAUGAGGAAAUACUUUUCUCUCGGUAGGAGGGUGACCAGUAUCUAAGGCAACAAAAGCUGGUCACCCUCUUGAAUAAAAGACAUCACCACGGUCCAUUUUAAAAAAUUUAAAGGCUGAGAUCUUAUGAUGCGUGGGAGCUAGCAUUGCUCAAUUAAAAUAUGAAAGUUAUAGUAGGGCACUCCACUAGUCCAUUGUCUAGAUAGUAACAAAACCAAGGAGAUCGAGUCAUUUAGUUUCCCCUCCUUCCCUGAGGGCCAUGCAGCAUAAGAAAGGAGCCCCUUCUUCAAUUGCAACUUCUUUUUCUUUUCCAGAGUUAAAAAAGCAAAAUAAGGAAAAGUUGCACACUAGUUCCUUAUAUUUUAGUGAUCAAGAAGAUUCAUUUUAGUCCUCAAAGUUUUCAGGUUGCGCAUUUGAUAUCUCAAUCUCAAACUGCUAGAUGUGCAAUUCUUACGCUUAUUUUAGAGGAAAAAUUAUUGAUUCCAUUUGAUGCAUAUCCUUGCGUUUGGGCAUUAUAUAUCUAUCGGUUUUCAAUCUAUCAAACGCUUCCAAUUCAAUGGUGUACGCCAUAACUAGGGAUAAUACACAAAUCAAUAUAUAGAUGAUAGAGGUUGAAAAUGAAAUUAACGAAAUUGAGGGUCAAUAACAUGUGGUGCAUGGAUGUAUGUAUCAAUGCUUGAUGCUUCAGAGUGUAACAUUAUGAAAGGACAAGAAUUGAAACAAAAUCUUCUAAAAUUUCAGAACGCCACAUGUUCAAUGUAGAAGCUUGAGGAGAUCAAGCAGAGUUGGUGUAAAAGUUAGGGGGCAAUUAAAUUAUCCAAAAUAUAUAUAAACUUGGACUAUUUUAUGAAUAACAGAAAAUAAAAUGGAGAGCUGGAAAGUUGUAGUGCACUACGUAGGUGUAAACCAACCUUUUACACUAUAAAGCUUAAGAUAUAUAUGAACUUGAGUUCGACAAAACUAGAGGUCUGUGAAAAUUGAAUUCAGUAGUAAUUUUCUUAUAUUAUGUAAAAUAACUGUUCGAAACUAACUGAAAAUAAUAUUUUCAAUAUAUACUUUAUUGUGAGAGAGGAGGAUCUACUUUUAUGUGUGCUGGGUCACGCCUAUGGGGCCCGCGGAAGUGGGUUCAAGCAUUCGAUCAAGCUAUCUAUUCUGUGGCUGCGGAGAGUUUCCUGGUUCGAUCGGUUGGGUUCAUGGGUCCAAGUAAUUAAAGUUGGUACUUCAGGCUAAAUGUGGCUAUGGUGGUUUACCCGGCCCGAUUGGGCACAAUGUUGACGCCAUUUCAUCUUCCUCGUCCUCCACCUUUCCUUUUCUUGGCUUCACCAUAAUGAUGUUUGCUGUUGUUUCUACCACCGUCGUGAAUCUUCUACGGUGGCCUCAUCGGAAUUAACCAUGCUAAAGUUAUAUGAAGCCGCUUAUUCUUUAAUAGCUUAAGCUACUAAAGAAGGGUGUUUCCAAUAGUUAUAUCUUAAAGAAGAAGAUUUCAAUUAGGGAUUGCCUCUCCAACGAAGGGCGGAGGUGGAACCUUAUUCUCCGAGAAUUCGCAGGUUCGACAUAGCAGUACGAAACGUACAUACAGAAGCUCAAGCAUGACUUAUCAAUCAGGUACGGGUAAAUAUAUAGAUCACUCAAUGAGAUCAAGUGGCGACGGUUGAUCAACGAAAAAUUCUUGGUUAAGUCUCUUUAUUACUUCUUUAAUGAUGGUGGAUGAAGAUUUGGACUCACGAACUAGGAUCUGGAAAUUGAGAAUCCCGAACAAAGUGAAAAUUUUUGUAUGAUUGGUGUUGAUGAUCGAGAAGAGUUCUAACAGCUGGCAAUUAAUGUGCAAAAGAAGAGUUGGACGAUUGACCAAACGUGUGUUCGAUCUAUGUGAGCGGGAGACAAUGAACCACUUAUUCUUGUGUUGUAUUUUCAUCACAUUCAUGUUCGUUGGCCUACAGGUUGAACCGCGCAUAGUUCACCUAGUGAAAGGGGUUCAUAAAUUAUGAAACACACUGGUGGAUGCCCAAGAGAAGGAUGCUCGAGGAUAUACUUUUCAAAAGAAAGGUAACGACCCAUUUUUGGUGCAUUCCAACAUCGAAAGAGUACUUAAUUCAUGCGCAAAUCUUGUUAACAUUUGUUUCCGAUCUCUUCCCUUGAUCCUUUCUUAAUUAUUUUUUUUCAUAUUUAUGUCUUUUCUAAGGCCUUUUUGUCUCAGGCCUAUUGCUAAAUAAACUUUUUUUAAUGAAUGAAGCAUGUAACUCGCUAUCUUUUCUCUCUCAAAGAAAGAACUUUUCCUCACCUCUAGGCUCAAGACCUUUUGUUAGACCCAAGGCAUAAACUAGAAUUAAAUUAGAGAAAAUUGAAUAACAUUAGGAGUCUAACCGAAUUUGAACUUUGGAUCUCUUGCUCUAAUACCACAAUAAACAUUAAUUCUGUAAAAGUUUAAACUAUUAGAAAAUGGUAUUUUCAAUAUUUAUAUUCAAUAGAACAAUCGAGGAAACUUUACAGUAUACUUCAUAAUUAAUUGUUGAUAAAUUAACCAUUAUUUUCACAUCUAUUUAUUUAUUUAUUUAUUAUAAGAGCAUCUUGAAAGGUCAACGCAUUUCCUCUCAAAAGAAGUUCGAUUUCUUAAUAAGGAGAUUGAAGACAUUAUCACUAUCACCAUGUGCGAGAUUUAAUACUUGAUUAGGUGAACCCAAUCAAAAUAAGUAUCUUCUCUACUUAUCAGUAGAUUUUUUUUUUUUUUGGCUAAAAAUAUUUGGUAAAGAUGAACACUGUGAAACUAAUCUCAAAUUGAAAGCUCAUGAACUAAUUAGACCCAAUGAAAAAGCUAUUACAAUUUAAAUAAUCAUGGAACAUUUUUUAUACACCCAAUGAACAACCAAUCACAAUUAAAAAAAAAAAUAUCAAGGAAUGCAUUAUUCAAAUAAAACAAGUCUCACUGUACACAUUAAAAAUAAACCAACAAAUUAUAUUAGAACGCAAAAAAUAAAUUAGCGCAUUAGUUGCUACUAAUUAUUGGUAUGGGUAGACCACACUCCAACAUCAGUCCAGCGCACAAGUCCAUGACUAAUUAUAUAUGAGGGGCCCUUCUUGUUUUUUUGAUUACUAAUGAUGAGUUGUAUAUUAAUGAACCAUGCUAAAUUAAUAUAAUUGUACUCUGAGCAAGAGAUGAACUUAAUUUUAUAUAGUUGUCUCCAGAUUCCCCCCACCUAAUCGUUUGCCCAUGCGUCGUGUUUCCCCAAGUCAACUUUGAGAUCAUUAAUAUAAUAUCCCACACUAUAUAUUGAUUAAAAAUAAUGCUAUACAAUAAAGUGACUAACUAAUUAAAGAGAGAAUCAAUUAAUCAUCUAUAUAUACCCUCUUCAUUUACCUUAUUUGUACACAACUUGUGUGCUAAAUACUAUUUAGCUAUACUAUCUUAAUGGCUACGGCUACAUUUGGUUCUCUCUUUGUAUGUGUUACGCUACUUGUAGGUACCUUUACGAGUGUAAGGGGGCAACUUGACCCUUGCUUCUAUGAUGAGGUGUGCCCUAAAGCUCUUCCUGCCAUUAAGAUGAUCGUCGAGCAAGCCAUCGAGCAAGAACCACGCAUGGGCGCGUCGCUACUCCGACUCCAUUUCCACGAUUGCUUCGUUAACGUAAAUAGUCCUAACCAUAACUAAGUUUUUCAUGAAAAUGUUAAGCUAUUAUUAUUAUUUUUAAUUUGUUUGGUACUGAUAUUUAAGUUCAUGGUUUUGCAUUUUCCAGGGUUGUGAUGGUUCUGUUUUAUUGGAUGAUACACCGACCUUCACUGGGGAGAAAAAUGCAGCUCCAAACAAGAACUCUAUUAGGGGGUUUGAUGUAGUAGAUAAAAUUAAAGAAGCUGUUAACUCUGCUUGCAAUGGUAAUGUAGUUUCGUGCGCCGAUAUCUUGGCGGUGGCGGCUCGCGACUCUGUUGUGGCCGUGAGUUUUCUUCUUACUUAAUUAGCCUAUAUAUACAAUUGUAGCUAGUUAGGAUAUCCUUUUAUUUAAUUCAGGUCGAAUGUUAAUUCUUAUUUAUGUCUUAACAAACUUAGCAUACAUUUCUCAUUGCAUUAAUAUCUAGGAUUAAAAUAAAGUUUUGUUAUAUGUAGUUUUCUUUACUAGAUAAUGAAAUACAUAGGUCUUAAUUAGAAGGUGAACAUUGUGUGUUUUCAUUUAGUGAAAUGAGUGGUGGUUUCAAAGCAAACAUUUUUCUCCAACAUUUCAUUAUUAGCUGCGGUUUUAGUUAGUAGUGUAUAAACUAUUUUAGUAAAGGAACAUAAUUUGUAUAGUCAUAUAUAUUUUGUCACUAUAUACAUACUCUUAAUUACUAACUAACAUGCAACCUCUACAAAAUACUAAAACUUCUCUAACUGCUACCCCUACACAUGCAUGCAGUUGGGAGGCCCUUCCUACAAUGUGGAGCUUGGUCGCCGCGACUCGCUGACGGCAAGCCAGCGCGCGGCCAACCGGAGCAUCCCUGCCCCGACGCUCAACUUCACCGGCCUCCUCUCCAACUUCCAGUCCCAUGGCCUCUCCAUGCAGGACCUCGCCGCCCUCUCCGGCGGCCACACCCUCGGCUUCGCCCGGUGCACCUCCUUCCGCAGCCGCCUCUACAACGAAACCGCCACCCUCGAUUCCUCCCUCGCGGAGUCCCUCAAAUCUCGAUGCCCCCUAAACGGAGGCGAUGACAACCUCGCAGGAUUAGACGGAUCCCCAACGACGUUCGACACGUUCUACUACGACGGGCUUUUGCAGAAGAAAGGGCUUCUCCACUCGGACCAGCAGCUGUACAAAGGUGACGGGAGUGGGAGUGAUGGGCUCGUGAGGUUUUACGCCGAUAACCCGGUGGCCUUUUGGCAAGCUUUCGCAGCGUCAAUGCUGAAGAUGGGGAGCAUGAAGCCUCUCACUGGGAAGAAGGGGGAGAUUAGGGUGAACUGUAGGAAGGUGAAUUAAUUGAUGAGGGUUUUGAUUUGUGGUGCAUGGUUUAUUUUAUGGUCUACGUGUUCGUGCAUGCAUGCAUGUUCUUAGCUUGGGUUUGUUAAUUUCAUUUUCAUGUACUACACGUACGUACGUGCAUGCUUUUGUUUGAUUUGAGGUCGUGUUUGUGAGGGAUUGUGUGAGGCACCUAAUAAGACAAAUGUAACACUUAAGUUGUUAAUUUCAAGGAAAAAUAUUUAAGCAUUGGUAUUUUAAUUAUUGUGUUAAUAUUUUUUUGAGAGAUAGGUAGCAUGUUACCCGCUUUGUUUAUUUCAUUUAGAAAUAAACUUAGCUGAAAAUGUGAAUCAACUAUAAUUCGAACUUGGGUCUCGGAUACCAACCACCAAACCUUUUGCCACUUGCUCUAGGGACAGUCUAAAACAAAAAAUACGAAAGGCAUAUUCCUUGGUAAUGUGACUAAUAUUUAUUUCUUUAGGUCCUAUACUUAAUUAGAUGCAUAAACAUUUUAAUUGGUAUUUUCGUUUGGUUUAUACAAAAAAUAUUUAGUAUUUAAUUGAUGAAUAGCAUCACUAAAUGUUUAGAAUCAAUAUCAUAUUCAGCUUUUAAGUCAAUUUUCGAAAUAAUAUAAAUCAUCUUACCUGCGAAAUAUGCUAUAUAUUAUGUCAAUUUAUGUAUAUCAAAAUUUUUCAAUGAACAAAAAUCAAAUGCCCAACUUCUGGUCACACAAGAAAAUCUCCAUAUCAAACAUGUUAUUGAUCAUUGAUAAUAUCUUUUAAACCCAAAGAAUUAAUGCAACUAGCUAGGAACAUGUUUAAUAUACAUCCCUUAAUUUAUAUGUAAAGUUAGAUUGUUACUAAUAAGUUAAUUUGAUUUUUGGAUCCAUGUAGCUUAAAUAAAACAAAGCAACAUGACUACGGUUAGCUAAUUGAAUUAAAAGGCAUAGAUAGAUUAAAGGGCUCCCUGAAUCCUGUUGAUUUCUCUAUAAUCUUUUUUUUGUUAAUUGCCAUCUAAUUAGUAGGAACUAGUUUGGAUCGGAAAUUAGUAGGAACUAGUUAUACCGGGGAUAGGUACAAGUAUGAGUUUUUGUAGGAAUAAGGGUAUUUUUUUGUUUGGAUGAAAUUGUGAGUAUAAGCUGGAACUAGAAAAAUUGUGUUUGGAUAAAAAUUUUGGAAAUAAGAGGAAUAGUUGGUAGUUAUAAAUAGAAUAUAAUAAUAUUAUCCCUAUAAUUGAAUUUUAAACUUAUAAUUUAAAAUUUAAACUUUAAUAAAAUUUAAAAUUUGAAAACUUAAAAAUAUCAAAUUUAAAAUUUAAAAUUUUAAAAUAUCAAAUUUAAAAUUUAAAAUUGUAAUUUAUUAAUUAUAAUUAUAAAAUUAUAAAUUUUAAAAAUCUCUCUCUCUCUCUCUCUCUCUCUCUCUCUCUCUCUCUACUCAAGUGGGUUGGAACAAGCUUGGGAACAAGCUUGUUCCAACCCCGGGUGGGAACAAGUGUUCCCACCCAUAACGGGUUGUACCUGGUACAACCCGUUAUGGGUGGGAACACUUGUUCCCACCAUUUUUUUUUUCUGUUUGGGUAUAAAGGGGGGGAUAUCCCCCUUAUUCCCCCCUUUAUACCCGAGCCAAACGGAGUGUUAGGAAAUUUUUGAGUUGUACAAUUUUUACAGCUCUUUGCAUACGCUAAAGUAUAUAACUGCUCCCGUAAUUUAAAUACUCCGUAUCUCCUUUUAGUAAAACUAAAACAGUGUUAAAAGUGUAAGUGGGUAUAGCAUUACUCAAAUAUAUAGCUACUAUACAUUAAUAGGUUGAGACCAUGGAGAUGCUUUUGACACCGAUUAAUAAAUUAAUCAAAUCCGCUGAUUGAUUAAGUUUUUAAAAAAUAUAUUUGUUGCCAACCCCCAUAUAUGCAUCGACAGUGCAUGCCUCCAUUUACUGCGUGUUGAUGACUUGUCCGAGUUUUUGAGUUUUCCAAACGAAAAGCAAAAGCAUCUUAAUUUAUCAAAAAAAAAAAUAAUAAAGAUGGAUUUGGUAGCUCCAGCUCAUAUAUGGCUUAACCCUUGAUUAAAGCACGCAAUUAACGUAACAUUAAUUAAUUAGAUCCGGACCCCCAACGAGACCCAGCAGUGUUUAAAUCCACAACAUAUCCCUUCGAAAAACCCAUUAUAUUAUAGUCUUAGGUUAACCUAAUAUAUAUGUUAUUACAUAAAAGUCAGGUUGGUCUACGCCUUAUUUUAUUAGCUCUUGGACAACCGUUUCUUCUAUCUAUAUCGACAUAUAUCUAUAUUUAUAUAGAGAGAGAAUAGGAUUGUCAUAUUUUUAGGAAUAUAGAGAUAUUUGUAUUCAUAAGUAAUUUAAUUUUAAUGAUGAUGGAGUUUCUAAAUAGACGAUUAAUACCGUUAAAUAUGAUCCAGAGCAUUUAAAAUUUUUAGAAAACUAAUUUCAUAAUUUUUUAAAAUUAUAAUAAAGUCCAUCAAUUGGACAUAAAAUGAAUAAUCAAAAUCGAACUACCUCUUAAAAAUAAAGGAUCGAAUUUUUUAAUUUAUUAUCGAAGUUAUUGUUCUUCGUAUAGAUAUAUAGUGCAUAUAAUUUUCUAUCAAAAAUUCAACCGCUUUCGAUCCUUUUACACUAUCAACUUUUAGAUCUUUUGAUCGUAAAGUAAAUAANUUCAACCGCUUUCGAUCCUUUUACACUAUCAACUUUUAGAUCUUUUGAUCGUAAAGUAAAUAAUGUUCAAAAUUUAUAAAACUUAAUUUCUAGAAGUUUCAAAUAUUCUAAAUCAUAUUUAAUAAUAUAAAUUAUCGAUUUAGAAAUUUUAUCAUCGAAAAUAACUUAUGAGUACAAAAUCGAUCGUACUUAUAAGAAUAUAAUUGUUGGACUAUAUAUAUAGUAUCUAAAUAAAAGAUAUUGAACCGUCCAACUUAGAUUUUUAACAUAAGUAAAAAAGCGUUGACGUAGCUCCGUUGCCACCCAUUUGUUUUCGAUGAUGGAGCCUUUAAAUCGACGAUCGGCACCGUUGAACAUGAUCUAUACCACUUGAAGUAUUUAGAAAUCAAAUUUCAAAUCUUUUCGAUAUCAUUGACCUAAUGAUCAAAGAGUUUCAAAUUUUGCAAUUUUAAUGGUAGAUAUGAGGUGUUUUCUCCUUUAACUGUGUAAAGCUAUCCAAAUCAAUUGAAUUUUGGUUAGAAAAUUCUUUAAACUAUUUAGAAUAAGAUCUAUACUCCCGAUCUUGAUUACAAAAUUCGUAUUAUCACUUUUUAGGGGAUAUUCAUUUUCAGCCGUUCAUUUUUAUGCCAACUUAAUGGACAAGAGGACAAUAUCGGAAAAGCAUGAAAUUUGAUUUCUAAAUACUUCAAGUGAUAUAGAUCAUAUUCAACGAUACCGAUCAUCGAUUUGGAGGCUCCAUCAUCAAAAAUAAAUGGGUGACAACGGAGCCCGAUUGCUACCGAUAGUAUUCUAACUCAACUCUAUAUAUAUAUAUAUAUAUAUAUAUAUAUAUAUAUAUAUGCACGCAAUGUCACCGUGACCAAGUUAUUUUGGUCAAAAUCACGCCCAUGCAUGAUAAAUGGACUACAUCUGUAUGUCUAUUUUGUUUGACUGUAUACAGUGAGAGUUAUACAAAUUAUAAAUUAUUUUUUGGUUGUACAUGAAUAUGGGAGUAUUUCUAUCGUAGACUUUUUUUAAAAAACUAAGUGAGUUGAUAAGUAAGAUAAGUAGUAUACUUGGAAUAAUUAUUCAUUCAAAACUGAUAUAUUUUUACAUACAUAUAUCCAACCUAGCUUGAUUCCAAAAUGAUAUGCACGCGGGUUAAACAUCAGAAUAUAUAUAUUACGCAAGCCCAUUCGACGGACCUGAUUAAUUCGUUAGUUUGGCCUCAUUUCUGCUUCUAGUUUUAGCCAUGAUAAACUCUAAUAAGUAUGCGCAUGCGCUAGAGAAAAGCUAGCAAACGAGCAAUUCACGUUGUGCAAUAGGUGUAUCAUAUUUCAUUGACAAUUAUAAGUUAUAGAAAAAACUUCAAAUACCACCUCUGUGAUUUCGCACUUCUUCACUUUAGUACCCUGUGGUUUAAAGUGUAUCAAUUUAGUACUCCGUGGUUUUAUUUUUCUCUUUUUAUUAUCACUCUACUAAUUUUUUUAUUAAAUCAGUGAUAGAGUUAAAACUAAAAAGUGCUAAAGUGAAUAUUCGAUAAACCUAAGUGGGAUAUAUGAAGUUUUUUCUAUAUAAUUUAAUAAAAUGUUAACGGAUGAGCUAAUGAAAAGAGAAAAGUAAAAUCACAAAAUAUUAAAUUGAUAUUAUUUAAACCACAAGAUACUAAAGUAAAAAAGUGCGAAACCACAGGGUGGAUGGUAUUUGAAGUUUACCCUAAAAGAUACAGGUAAAUAGAUAACACAUCCAUAUAAUUAGGCCCAUUAAUUACAGAGUAGGCCCAAUUCUAAAGGCCCGGGUCCUUUUGAACACUUUUGGAAAAAAAAAAAUGUUAAUCAUUUUAAUUAUCACCGAAGCAAUAAAUAAUUAUUUUUUUACGAUAAUAAAAAAAUAUAGUAGUGUAACUUAUUUUCACUUAAUUUUCUUUGCUUUUCUUAUAUUUUCUCUCUCUCAAAAAAAAAAAAGAAGAAGAAGAACCUGAACAUUCACGUCGGAUCCUUCGUGCAUUACACCGACCAAUUUUUUUUAGAAAAGGGAAGCUUCUAUUUCCUCACCACAAUGUUUGUUCAAAUAUUUCUUUUUUUUUUUGUUGGUUGCAUUUCUAAGAUGAGAAGAAACCAAUCCAUUAAUAACAAGGCCAACACGCAUAACCAUGUCUUCUUUUGCAAUUUAUACAACACCAACAUUAGGUUCACUAAAUUAUUAUAGGUUGGUAUGUAUCCUCAAAACACCUCAGUUGUUAACUUACAAUUUCAUGGCUAUAUAAACACUGCUACUCAAAGCCCCUGCUCUCCAAACCAAACACUUCACUGAAAUUGAAUUUCCCUGCUCUCAUACAAUGGCAACCACUCAAACACUCUUCACAUUCUUUGUUGCCGCGGCCGUCGUCGCCUUUGCCGCGCCGACCUCCGGGCAGCUCACCCUCGACCACUACGAUCACGUCUGUCCGCAGGCGCUGCCCACGAUCAAACUGCUUGUCGAUGCGGCUGUCGGGAUUGAACCGAGGAUAGGCGCGUCGUUGGUCCGGUUGCACUUCCACGAUUGUUUCGUCAAUGUAUGACUACAUUUUUUUUUUUUUUGUGUGUAUUGACACACUCUUAACUUUCAAUUAUUUUGAUUUUGAGUCAAAAAAAUAAUGAACCUAACAUUUGUAAUUUUUUUUUUUGUUGAUAUGUGUACACGUGUUGUUUAGGGUUGCGAUGCGUCGGUUUUACUGGAUGACACUCCGACGAUGAAGGGAGAGAAAAUGGCUAAGCCGAAUAACAACUCGCUGAGAGGGUUCGACAUGAUCGAUCAGAUUAAGACCGCAGUUAACAUCGUGUGCUUCGGAAAUGUGGUCUCUUGUGCCGACAUCUUGGCGGUCGCCGCCAGGGAUUCGAUCGUCGCGGUAAAUCUUCAGUACCCGAAGCUCACAAUUUACUUAUGAACUGAAAAUUACAUAUUUUUCCCAAAACUGCAGUUUCUAUCAUAGUAUCUUUGUCUUAACUAACUACGAGUGUUUUAAUCCAAUUUAUACAUAUGCUUAACUAACAACUAAAAAAAAGCGCUGCUAACAAAAAGUACAAAAUAACAGUUUAUCUCUAAAAACUUAAGAUUGUAGAAACCGGCGUUUUGGUCUAUUAUAGUUAACAAGCACACUCUGUGUUUGCAUGCACCUCCGUAGCUCGGUGGGAUGCCGUACGACGUGCUGCUGGGCCGCCAGGACGCGAUGACGGCGAGCGUGGAUGCGGCGAACGCUGCGAUCCCUAACCCCCUCCUCGACCUCCCGGCCCUCAUCUCCAAAUUCCAGUCCAACAACCUCACCCUCCAGGACCUUGUGGUCCUCUCGGGCGCCCACACCCUCGGGGUCGCCCGCUGCACCACCUUCCGCGACCGAAUCUACAACGAAACAUCCACCAUCGACCCCGACUUCGCCGCCGCCCUCCAGGCCCAGUGCCCGCGCACGGGCGACGACGACGUCCCCCACUCGCUCGACGAAACGCCCGCGAAAGUCGACACCGAGUAUUUUACCGGACUUACGCAAAGAAAAGGGCUGCUGCACACGGAUCAGCAGCUGUUUCAAGGGGACGGGAGUGAUGCGGAUAGCUUGGUGAAGCUCUACAGCGAGAAUUCGGACAAGUUCUGGGCGGAUUUCGGCGCGGCGAUGGUGAAGAUGGGGAAUCUGAGCCCGUUGACGGGGACCGACGGAGAAGUUCGCGAGAAUUGCCGGGUGGUGAACGGAGAUUAGAUGGAUAAAAUUAGUCAGGUGGUUGGUUGAUUACUUGGUCGAUAGGUUUUAAGGAAGUAUUAAUUACAUGUAGCUAAUAAAUGUUGUUUGUUGAGUAAGAGAAAUGUGGGUGGUGCAAGCAGUGUUAUUGAAGAUUUGUGAAGAUGUUUUGGAUGGUGAAAGAGUGAUUACAGAGUGUUAAAGUAUUUCUGGUACUGCUGCAUUCUUUGUUGGACAUGGCCCCCUACUUGCAAAAUGACUAGUUUUGUUGGGUUUAUUUUAUUUUUUAUUUAUUAUUAUUUUUUUUUGGAGAGAUAAAGCUUGCAGUAAUAUUUUAAGCUAGAUAUUGGUAUAGUUCUAUUCACCAAAACCUGAUUCGAAUCAGAAAAUGUGAUGUGGUUCAUGGACACCAUGACAGGGCCAGGAGUUAGAGCUGUAGCUACGGUUCUAAAGGAUCCAAUGCCGUGAAACAAGGCAAAAAGUUCCAGUAGAAAGGAUUAAAUGCAUAAAAAUAAAAUAAAAUAAAAUUAUUCAGAAAAAAAAAAAAACAUAUAUUAUGUAAAAUUGGCUUAAAGGGUACAGAUUUCUUUCAGGAAUCAGGAUUAGACAAGUAUAUUCACAUAUUAUAACAUAAUAAUAUGGAAAACGCUAAAGGCUAAAUUUAUCCUUUUGAUCUCCAAAAUAUAAGAUGCGUGAUAUUUUAAUGCUCAAAAUUUAAUUUAUUAUAAUUUUUCACUUAGGUUUUUUGAGUUUUACAAUCAAAAUUUACAAACUAAUUUAACUGGCUAAAUAUUAAUAUAUUGCUAAUUUAAAAAUAAUAUAAUAAUACAAAAUAAAUUACAUGAUAAAGAAAAAAAAAUGUUAUACAUCAAAAUUUACUCAAUUAAAUUGAUUGACAAGAUUUAAUUGUAACAAUUACAAAAUUCGAGUCAAAAAUUAUAGUAAGUUAUAAUUUGUUGAGAAUUAAUAAAAGUAUAAUUUAGCCUUAAAAAAAAAUGUAUGAGAACUAAUAUAGUGCAUUUUGUGUUCAAGUGGUUUCCAAGAAACAAGAAAAAGGGAAACUUUCCCCUUUUUCUCUUUAAGAAAAGAAAUUUUCAUUUUUGUAGAAAUUUAAACAAAAACUCACAAAUUACCAACCUUAUUAUCAAAACCUAUAGCCUUUUAUUUAACAUUAUUAUUAUUAUUAUUAUUAUUAUUAUUAUUAGAGCCUAGUCAACAGCUUCUCCCCAAAACCCUAAACCCUAAACACCUCCCCUUCUUCUCCCCCAAGCUCCCUAAAUCCCCCAUGUCGAAUUUCUACUCUCCUUCCUCGUCCUCGGACGACAACGAGAACCGUAGGAUCCACCGCAUCUACAACCCCUACGAGUCCCUCCACAACCCCCACGCCCACGGCCCCGCCACCCCCAUCCCCAUCCACCGCCUCGUCUACGACCUACCCACCGCCCCGGAGUUCCUCUUCGACGAGGAGGCCCGCCUCCGCCGCCGCUCCUGGGGCCACAACCUCAGCUUCUACGCCGGCGCCGCCUACCUCUCCGGCGCCGCCCUCGGCGGCGCCCGCGGCGCAGCCGCGGGCCUCCGCGCCGCCGAGCCGGGAGACUCGCGCAAGCUCCGGCUCAACCGCGUGCUCAACGCGUCGGGCCUCGCGGGCCGCAGGGCGGGGAACGCCGCGGGGGCGAUGGGGCUCAUCUUCGCCGCGGCCGAGAGCGCGAUCGCCGCCGCCACGGGGGAGGACGGGGUGGCGGCCACGGCUGCGGCGGGUCUCGCGACCGGGGCCAUCUACAGGGCGGCGGCGGGGCCGCGCUCCGCCGCCGUGGCCGGGGCAAUCGGCGGCUUGGUCGCCGGGAUCGCCGUCGCCGGGAAGCAGCUCUUGAAGAGACAUGUGCCCAUUUAAAAGAGGGGAGGGGUUUUGAUUCUCCUAUGGAUCAUCUGGGGUUUAGGGUUUAAUGCCUUUUUUAUUUUUAAUGUUUUUAUGGUCCCCUAAUGUUCUUACGAUGUGCUUAGCUGUGUCUUUGCUAUCUAAUCAAUUGUUCUACUAUUUUUAUUUGCCCCUUUAGUUGGGAAAAAAAAAAAAAAAGAGAGAGUACCAACUACCUGAGAUUUUGUCUUCUUGUUGGAGAUACUUAAAAGAGUCGGCAAUUACUCAUCAGAGAACGAUAGAAUUCGUGUGAAAAUAAUAGUAGGAUUCAGUACAUGACAGGUGUUUCAAUUGUAGAAUAAAUCUGUGUAACUAUGCAUUAAUUACACAGUAACUAAAACAUGAAAUCAAAAUCAUUUAAACGCCAGCUACAGUAGGUUCUGAAACAUUUUCAUUGUUAUCAUAGAGAUACUGUGCAAAGUGGAAUUAUUUAUGAGAAGAGUAACAAAUAUGUCCUACUAGAAGACUGAAAUGCAGGUGUAUUGCUUUCGAAGCUUUUUGUUGAUGCAAGUCUAUAAUUCUCUUUCAACACUAGAAAGUACAUGUAUUUAGUAGUUAUAGGCUUAUAGCAAGCAAAUUUAUUUAGUAGUUAUCUUUACUAUAUUUAAAAUUUCAGAUCUUCUUUAGUCAAAAUAUUUGGUUACCUUUUUAGCUUGUAUAGUGUAUGCUACUCUACAAAUUGCGGGUUAGUGAUCUGUGUUCACACCUAUAUAAAGAACAUGAAGGUAUUGGUUACCACUUAGCUACUCAAGAUCGCCCUCUGAGACUUCUUCCUCGGGCAGUUGAAACGCGUCAACUUCCGCAAAAUACGCUCUCUGCUUCUCAAUAAAAUCAUUAGACAGUACGGAUCCUCUAAGAUCAUCUGGCCGUCUCUUGUGAUGGUAUUUCUGUGAUGUUUUGAACAUCCCCAAAAAAGAAAGAAAAGAUCAGUAGGAAGUGAAAUAUAUCAGAGAAAGAUCGCAAGGAACAGAGGAAGACAAGAGAAUACUUGCAAGAGAAUUGCGAAAAGAAAACUAGUGAUUCAGAGAUAAUAGAUGAAAUCCGAUAGAUAAAAGAACUAGAUUUUUUCUAGCAUAGAGAUUUCCUUAAUCCUCCAACAAUUUCUUCAAAACAAAGUUCAACUGUAAGCCUGGAACUACUGCUUCUGCGUCAAGCCAAAAUCUUCAACAGCUUCCGGAAGACCUUUUAGCUCUCAAUUAACUCAGUUUUACUAGUUAAGAAAAAAGAAGCAUGCCAAAUAGGCACUACAUAUAUGGGUAAUUACCAUUCGACCCAAUGGUUGUGUCGUAGAUCAACAGAAACUACAUAUCUAUGUUCUUGGCUUUACAAAUUAUGGUGUCUUCUAAAUAUCGUCUCCCCAAAGAAAAAGUGGAAAACUAAUAGCCGUACUCUUAUGCAAUAAGGCACUAUUCAUUUGACAACAAACGAUACGAGAACAUAGAUUUUGAUAUGCAUAGAGCACAUAUAACUAUUUCUUGUCAGUCGAAUAUUGGCACUUGAAGACAAAGAGGAGUUAAUCUACAAGGAAGAACAUACCCUUUUAGUCUUCUGGCUAACCGAAAUAGUGCAAGGAAAAAAAUCCCUACGCUCCUUCAAUUUUCUCCUGCGUGAAAGCAAUGCACGGUAAGAUCAUUGCAUGAAAGUAAAUUUGCUAAACAGAGCUCACCGGCAAAGCUUUUCUCAUCCAGUAAAACAAUAGCACAGCUAGCAAUUAAGAUUUAAAAACGAAAAGACAAUGAGACAGAAAAGGAGGAGGUUGUGUUACAAUAUUAUUAUUUUGACUAGUUAUUGCCUUAGUGAACAUGGUAGCUAAAUAAUCCCAACGUGUUACAUAAGGUAGAUAUUGUAUGAUUGUUCAAUAUUUCGCUAUUAAGGUAGAUAUUGUAUAAUUGUUCGAUUUUCCGCUAUUUUUUCCAUUCCUCUGUGUAUACAACCCCGUUAUAAAUGAGUCCAAUCUUGAUUCAGGCCUGCAGGGGUUCUUUGCACAACCCGAAUCACAAAAAAGGCGAGGAACUAUAUAGUUGAACAGGAAACCAAAGCUCUUCCCACUGCUAACGGUAAAAAAGAAGUAAAAGAGAGAAAAUAAAGGCCUUUUUAAUGUUUACUGAGAUAAUGCAAAAUCAUCAAUUUUUAUCCUUUCACUUUUUUUUUUUUUUUGAAAAUCUGCCAUAAUAGCCCAUGCCCUAUACGAGUAAAUCUUUGUGAAGUUUCUGCUGUUGUUUGACUUUUGGUUUACCUAAAUUAAUCAUUGAAGAGGAGCAAACUGAUUAUACAGGUGAUGAAAGCAGAAAAGGCAUCUCAUUAUGUGAUAAUGCACCUACCCAAAAUUUUUGAUCCUUUCUUCUGAGUAUCCAAGUGCCACAGAGUCUACAAGAGCUUUGCCCUGAACCUCUUUUCCCUCUGGAAUCCAUUACAACAACUAACAUUCAGGUAUAACAUAAUCGCAAUAUGUUUAACUGUCGAAACACCAAAUAUCCUGCAGUUCUCAGGAAAAGCACAAGUAGAAUUAAACAUCAAAGCUUGUUAGUUCUCUGCAGAGAUACACUCGCAACCUAUACCUUUUGGCCUACUCACUCUCAGGUCUUAUUAUAAGGGAACUUUCGAUAGGAAAUUAUAGCCACUCCAAAUAUAAAAUGCUAGAAUUGGAUCCUAAGUUAGUAUUAGAUAUCGCUAGGGUUUUUCAGUACCUUCAGCGCCAUGAAUAUUUAGAUGUCUCUGAUUUUGUGAAAGGCAUCUCGGAACAAGUGUUAUAGCUUGAUAUCUAUGUUCUAAGCACUGCGCCAUCAUAGAAUACCAAUUAAGGUACUCAAUGCUGCAAAUUAAUAUCUUACUAGAUUGAAAUGAAUUUCAGGAACUUCUACCGCAAAAGCAGAUAUGGGAUCAGAACGCAUAACAACACAUUUGCUUGUAUAAACUAACGUUCUCAAAUUGUCAACAGAUGGGUAAAAUUGGAUCAGAACCAAUAAUUAAAUGUAAUUGCAAAAUAUACUGAGUAGGUAAUACAACUGAACAAUUCAUAUUAUAUAAAGAAGACAAAUCGGAAUCCACCGAUCAUGAAUAGCCGCUCAUCAAUGUGGAAAACAUUAUAUUAUCCAUCUAAUUAUGCAAAGUCAAGCUGUAUGAUUCCAUUGCACAUCACGCAUCAUCAAAUCCGCUAAACCCUACAUCUCAUACCACAAUUUCCAAAUCAACAGACCAUUCGAAGCUCCAGGACACCAAUAAUUCAAAGAAUAAGGGCGAAUCAAGCGAUCUUACCGGGAUCUACGCCGAUCUCUUCCGCUCCAUCAGCGGAUUUGGGGAUUUCCCUCACCCUAGGGUUUCCGGGGAUGCGGGGUCCGAAAAUGGCGCUCGAUUUUGCCAAAACCCCAUCGUGAUUAGCCGAGGAAGAGGAACGCGACGCCGAGGUCUUGGGAGGAGCGGCGGCGUUGGCGUUGGCGUUGGCGUUGGCGUUGGUGAGGUCGGAGAGGGGCUUCCGCUUAAGCGUCUUGCUUGUGGAUGGCAUAAUGGUAAUAAUAAUAGCGGGGGAGGGGGAAGUGCGAAGGAACCUGGAAUGGAAGCUUCUAGAAGGAGGAGUAAGGAGAAGUGGCGGGAGAUACCGCGGUGUGAUUCGAUCCCACGGUGCGGAUAACCCGCAUGCGGACGUUUCGUUCGUGCGACACUCGAGCCGCGCGAGUCGGCUCCGCUAACGGCUCCAAGCAGCCGAGCCGAGAUUUGGACUUCGAAUUUGGAAAGCGCGUUGCGACUUGGGAGUUGUUUGAGAUUUGGAUCCGACCCGUUAACAUGCCAAAUAGGAGCCUAAACUUUUUAUUUUGAUAAUUUGACUAUUUAAGAUUUUUCCCGUUUAAUCGCUUGUAUUGUAUAUAAUCUUAUGAAACUUUUAGAACACAAAUAAAUCUAUUUUGUUUUGAUAGCACAUAAAAAAAAUUUAAAGACAGAUUAAUUCUAUUCCUCAAUAAUUAAUAAUAGGUUAUUUUUGUGUACGUUUUGAAAUAAUAAAAAUUAUGUGCGAGAUAUGUGAUCAAAAAUUGUUCACGCUCUAUUUGAUAAAGCAAAUAAGAGGCGCAAUUGUCAAAACUAAAAGUUCAAUCAAGCAUACGUAUUUGCACGUUUUUUCCAAAAAUUAUCACUUUGGACCAUUAAUUUAUAAGUCUAUGCUCGAUUAGAGUUUUAGUGUUCAGAAAAAGUUUUAGUGUUCAGGAAAAGAGACACUAAUAUUAAUGGACCGAAGUUUGUUAUUGAAUCAAAUCAAAUCUAUCAAGUAAAACUAAUCAAGUUUGAUGUAGUUAUUUUGUAAAUGGCAAAACUAAACUUGACACAGAUCAAUGUUGCUUUUAGGAGCAGGAUUGUGACAGGUUGAUUCAUGAAAAUUAACCUAAUCUAUGGGUCUUCUUCGUUAGCAUCAAAGAAUUCGAAAAUCCAAGCCCGACCCAAAGUUUAUAGUAGCGAGUUUCAACUUUUGAGACCCAGCACAGUCGAGUUAAUUCGAAAUCCAAGUUACAACAUAUAUAAGCUUAAUCAAUUUGCAGAAAAAUCUUAAGGUUGGCUCAUGCGUGUCGGCGAUUGUUAUUGUAUACUCAUGGUGUGUGUGCAUAUAUAUAUAAACCUUUAAAAUGUGGUGGAUUUUUAUUUUUUAUGAGCUCGCCAUCGAUCAUUACAGUUGUUGUUGUACAUAGUCAAUUGAUUUGUGUUAGAGCAUUAAUUGGAUCUUAGGACCACAGGAUCUGGAAUAUAUCCACAUCUAGUUCCUAUAAGAAUAAGUUAAAAUUGUGUAAAUUUUAGCUAAUACUAAUUGGCUCUCCUCUAUGCAUAUAUAUAUAUUGUUCCACCGCACGCAUUUAUCGAGUUUGGCUAAGUCAUAAUUCAUCGCCAAUUACACAUAUAUAAUAAGCACUAACUUCAUUAUGAAGCUCAAUCUUGCAAUUGUAACUCAAACGAAAGCUAAUUAGAAGGGAAAACUAGCUUGCGCUAGUAAUUAACAAAUAUUUAUUCUAGUACUACAACUAACUUAAUUUCCAGAGCAAUUUUUAAUCGACUGCAACACCGCUUGCUUCACGACGUGUGCAUCGACCCCUUCAGCUAGGUUCUGCAACAUAAAGUAAAGUUGAGAUUAGUAAGAUUUAAUAUAUCAUGAUUUUAAGAGGAAUGGUAUGUGUCUACAUAAUUUAGUAGACGUAUAUUAGUGCGGAUCGUGUGAUCGAGGUUGAAUGAGGCAAAUUGUUGAAUUUUAAAGUUCUCAACAAUUGCUUGUAUGGUGUAGUUAAUUAUCAGUCAAUCAAAAAAUACUUUAAUGAAAAUACAAGUUAAGUGAAAUGUUUGGUCACUACAACAAAUUAAGGGUACAGCAUAAUUAUAUUCAAAGCAAGUAUAUGUGAUAAUUAAGGAGCGAGGAUAAUUAAGGGUACAGCAUAAUUAACAUAUAUGCAAAAUAGUGUUGAUAAUAAUUACAAUAAAUUAACUCGAGAAUCAGAAAUAUAUGCCAUAGUAGUAUGAUCUUUUUUAGCCAUUAUUAUAAAUUGAUACGUGGAGAUCGAACAUUAAUUGAUAUCAAUAUAUAUAUGCAAUAUUUGCAAUACAUGCACAAAUAUAUUUGUAACAAUAUAUCAUUAUUCGCAUAGAAAUUAAUCACAUGUACAUCCACCCUAUGGUUAAAUUAAUUUUCUAAACAAAAACAAUGCAGUGCAUUCUAUGUACGUGUGUAAACUUUAAGUUAAUCUAAGCAUAUAUAUUAAUUAUUGACUAGAUAAUCUUUACAAAUUAAUUGUUAUAUUUGCAUUUUUUCCCCUUUUAUUUUUAGUGAAAUAUCUUAGUUUGUAUUAAUGUAACUCGUUUGAGUAAAAUAACUUCUUCUUUGUUUUUUUUUUUUAUUUGACAGGAUUAAGAAAAUAGAGUUGCAUUUUAGCUUGUUCAAAUUGAAUUGACAUGACUUUUUCCCUUGUAAUUAAUUUUAGUAGAAUUACUGUUGUUUUGUUUUGUUUAACUUCUUCUUCUUCUUUGGUUUUUUGGAGAAGAUCAAUUGGUUGAUAUAUAUAUAGGAAUAAUUAACCAGGUUGCAAUUUUUUGCCCUAUUAUUAUUGUCGCAUAAAUUGAGAGAAUCAAACAUAUGAAGGGAUGGUGGAUUUUUUGCUUACUUCUGCUCCAACUGCUUCUAGGCGAAAUGUGUCGGUACAAGAAGCCCUAGCUUCCAUUACUUCGAGUCCGAGCUCUUCAAAAGCCUCUAGUAUAGAGACAAGCAAUCCUGGGGAGCUCUUAUCUGAGAAUACAUUGAUGAGGAAUCCCCUCUCCAGGGUUUCAACUGUGACCUGCUUAAUUAAUCAUGAUUUAGAUCUAAGCAAAAGGUGCGAGAACAUAAUUAAGCUAGCAAAACUUCAACAAAAAGAUGAUCAAUACCCAAUAAAACAAAUAUAUAUGUACCAUAGGCAAGGGAUCCUCUAUGACGAUGUUUUGUGCGCAUGCGACCUCUUGAUUCAGCUUCACAACCUUCUCCUUCAACUCUUCAAUGUACUUUGUCGCAUCUAGAAUGAUCGAAGCUUUAUUUAGCUGUCGCAAAUGAAGAUAAAAAUUUAGAUGUGUGAGAUAUAUACACACACUAAUAUACAAUUGUUCAAGAAAAGCCAUGGGCUUAACUCUAAUUAAUAUGUGUAUAUUAAUUAAUCGAGGACAUACAAAGCUGGAUGAUUCUUUUUGUCACACUAAUAUCAGUUGGAAUGGACUGAUUAAAGGGGAUAAAAAUUCUAGAACUUGUCAACCAGUCAAAGAUUAAGUAUCCAUUGUAUAUACACUGCCAUUUGAUCAUAAUAAAUUACUAAAAUAAUGUCUUGGGUGAUCAAUGUAGAAUAUUUUAUGCGAUUUCACUGGAAAUUGUGUGGAAAAAAUUAUAUCAUGAAUAUCGAUAGCACACUAAGGCCUUAUCUAAUGAAUUUACAGAGAAUCACAAUGUUUCCUACCAUCAAAAUAGAAGUCAUGUAUUGAAGUUAAAUGAAAAGUCAUAUAUGUUUAUAAUGGAGAAAAUUUGUGAAAGAAAAAAAAAAAAAUUGAAAACAAAAAAGUUAGGGAACAUCACCAAUAAAUUAAUUAGAUAGCAAAUGAUCUAUAUAUAUAUAUAUAUAAAGUUAAACCCAGAGCAUUGAACUGGACCACAAAAAAGCAUGAGAAAUUUAGCAAAUUACUGCAUGAGAAUUAGUAAGUGAACGAAGCAACUGUAGCUUCUCAUGUAGACCAGCUUUCUUGUGCUCCCUAGAGACCAUCUCUCUCUCUCUCUCUCUCUCUCUCUCUCUCUCUCUCUCUCUCUACCAAUUAGUAGAAGCUCUAUGUGGGCUACUACUCAAAUAAAGAGAGGAGGGAGUGCUUAUAUAUACACAUGGACCAUAUAAAUAUUAAUAAUUAAUGUCCUCAUGGAACCCACAUUAAUUGAGCUGCCUCAAUUUCCUCAAAUAUUCAGAUUAUGUGCAGAAAGUGGUUUUACAAAACUACCCUUGGGCAGCUAGAAUAUAUCUGUUUAUUUUGUCAUUGCCUUUGUAAAUGCUUAUAUAUGCUAAUACCAUGAAUUGUAUAAAGCUAGCUAUAUAUGUGUCACAAUGAAGAAUCAUAAGGUCUAAACAGAGACAUAUAUUAUAGAAACCUUAAUCCCCUUUUAUCUACCAAAAGAAAUAAAAAAAGAGAAAGUGGUAUAGCUAGUUACAAGACUUGUAUAGGCUAGGAAAAAAUAAAAAUGAACAAAACAAAACAAAACAUUAUUGAAAUAAUAUAUAUAAACUAUAAUAACUUGAGAAUUUAAAAGUUUGAAAAGAAAAAAAACAAUUUAUUAUGUAGCUAGAAAAUAAUGCAGGACUACAAAGCUGGACUCCCUAUGUAUAAUGUUCAUUUCUAGCUAGUUUCUUGAAAAGUUGAUUCCGAGAAAACCCAUAAAUUAACCUAAGAUUCUUUUAAGAAUUAGAAACUCAUUUGCAAUGUGUUCUACUGUUCACGAGCAAAGUUAUGGUUAUUUUAGUAACAUAUCUCUAAACCGCAUUACACUGGUUUACCAUAACCACAUAGUUUAAUAACCCAUGCGUUUGUCCACACCACAUAUUAAAUUAGUUAAAUCAUUCAUAAAAUUAUCCACAUCUUCCUAGUUUAAUGUAAGCACUGCACCCAAAGCUGCCUAGUUGUGGUAACUUCUAUGUUUGAUGACAACUUUAAUUCUUAAUAAAUUAUUAUUAUUAUUAUUAUUAUAUAUAGUGUUUUUUUUUUUGAAUCUUUCAUUACGAUUAUUUUUACUACGUGCAUGCACGUGAGUUCCAAGGGCUUAUAAAUUAAUGCAAUUAUUUGAACCAUUUUAAUAAGCUCUACUCCACUGUUCUUUUAGUUUGAAGAGGACAAGGGGUGAGGAGUAGGUAUAUAUUGAAUAUAAAUAUUAAAACUACUGUUUUUUAUUAGCUUAAGUUUUUAGAAAAGUACGAUUGUUUCAUAUAAUUUAACUAAUGUCAGAGCAGAAGAUCUUCAAGGCCGCAUCUUAGAUUUAUCUAAAAGUAUCGAACCCAUAUGCGAGGGGGAGUGUCGACGACAAUCUAAAUCAUGCUAGCUUGCGCAGACAACUGUCUUUUUCUUUUUAAAACUUCAAAUAACUUCAAAUGCACAUUAAGGGCACGUUUGGUUCACAUAUUUUAGACUAUGGAAUCGAAAUGGAAUUCAUAGAUUUCGAUAGUCACCAUUUGUUUUAUAGGAAUCGGAUUCCGAUUUCCAUUCCGCUCCGGAAUGGGAAUGGCCAAAUUCAUUUAUGAUCCAAUCCGGGAUUCACGGCUUUGAAUCCCGGAUUGGUUCAUUCCAAAGUAAACUAUUCAAAAUCCUCUUUUAUCAACACAUAUCUCAUUUUUCUUCAUCACUUUUUUCUCUCUUAAUCAAAACCCUCUCUCAAAAAUUUUAACUUUUCGCUCCGAUUUCCAUUCUAAUAAUGAACCAAACAUUUUUGGAUGAUUCGCCAUUACAUUUUUCAUUCCAAAGCAAUUCAAUUUCAUUUUGCAUUCCUAUUUCAAUCAUGAACGAAACAUGCCCUAAAAACGAUCUGCUCUUCCAUUAUUAUAAAAUGACGAUGGCUUCAGAAAGUAUCGGAGAAUUUUAUUGAAUGCUUUCUCAACGAAGGUUGUCAUUACUACCGAAAAGAUUGACUUACCAGCAGCAAUUGAAAAGACAAUGAAAUAAUGGACAAAACCUGGGUACGUUAAUUAGAAUCAAUCGUACGUAAUACCAUAUUAUUCAAAAAACUGAUCAGAUAAAUAGUCACGACAGCUGUCGCUAUAUUUUUCUAUCGACCGGCAGUUUCUGAGCUUUCAGUGCUUUUAGGGCUAGCUCGAAAGUACGAAAGCAAUUGUGUCUGUGGAACGCGUCGAGGACACCAUGCAAAAUAGGCCUAACUUUGGAUUCACCACAUAUACCAUCAAAUAUAAGGGUACCCGAACACCAUCAUUUUGGAGUCACAGUUACUUCUCUGGUCUUUUAUGCAGUUAAGUAGAUGUUCAACAAUAAGUUAAGAUACUAGAGAGAGAGAGAGAGAGAGAGAGAGAGAGAGAGAGAGAGAGAGAGAGAGGGAAUCUACUCGUGAUCGGGGCACCAUUGUUAGCAGGGAAGGCAUCAAAGGAGGGAGCUAGUGUUCGUUGUUUGGACGUGGCUCAUGAGAGAGAAACAGGACGACAUGGGUUUUCGUACAGAUUCUUUCGCGGUCAUGCACCACCACACACUAUAAAAAAAAAUCUCAAUAUAAAAACCUUCUUUUUUUAAAAAAAAAAACAACGUUUGGAAAAAAACGUCUCUAUAAUAUAGCAAAUAUCAAUACUUCAAAAAGAAUCGUCGUAUGAAACCCCUAUUAUAUUAAACUAAUUUAUCAAACAAUAAAUUUUAUGAUUAUUUUGAAAUUUUCGACGCUUUAAAGCGUUAAGAUUUUCAAAAAAAUAAUGAAAAAUCCUAAUGCUUUAAAACAUUAGAAUGUAUUUAAUUUAUUGACGCUUAAUUGGCAUAAGUGUUGAUAUAUACGUACGUGGCGAUUCUUCAUUUACCGAUACUUUAAUUCACGCUUUCAAAUGUACGUAACAUUAGACUAUAUUAGAACGCUUUUAAACAUCGUUAAAUAUAAAAAAGUUUCUUAAAUAUUAAUUUUUUUUACAGCGACGUCGGCCAUGCACCUGCACAUCUCUAGCAAUUUAAUUAAUUAAAGCUCUCAUCAAUACACACAUAUGUAUACAAAUCAUCUAUUUUUAAAAUUAGAAAAGAAAAUUUUAAGUAAGAGGAAGUAUAUCGAGGACAAGGAUUCGAUCAAUGGUGGAUUCCUUAUUAUCCGAGGGUACGUAGCUGGAUGGUCUAAAAGCUGACGUGGUGGACCAAGUCCAGGCUACGGUUCCUCGUUUGGAGUGGCUCCAAGGCCACUUCACGGGGGUUUGUUCUGCAAUACUACAACCCGCACGCACGUGCCACGCAGUGGUUGUGCCAUGCACUUGGUGUACAAAUAGAUCUCGUGCACCGCAUUAAUUUGUUGUGUCAGAUUCAAUUUAAAAAAUGUUAGUACUCGGACCACUGACGAAAUAUUAAGUUGAGGAUAUGUCUUAAAUUACACAGCUUAGAUAAUUAGUAAGAAUUAUAAGGAAUUAUCAACACAUUAUCCAUUGCUAAUGUGAUAACUAAUUAAAUAUAUCAUUUUUAUGGUAUAAAAUAUUUAAAAACCUUAAAAUAUUUUUAUUAUUUUUUUAUACUAUAAAAUUAUGAUUGCGAUCCUCAUUAGUUUCGAUAUAUUUUUUAUAUUUUUUUACUAUAUUGGGUUUGGAGAGUGUUCAUUUUGGCUUAAUUAGGCUUUUGCUAUGGCGGUGUUUACUAACUCUUAACCAUUCAUCACUUGCCACGUGGACUAUCCUCAUACUAAGUCUAUGCACCCACCUCCUCACAUGUAUGCGCAUAUUGACAUAUGUACAGCUGGAUAUCCUUUCCCUAUCAUAGUGCUAUAUGCGUUACCUUGUUUAUUAACUUGUCUCAUCCUAAUUAAUUAUUGUAAAGACCAUGUCUACCACAUCAUCUCUGAAUUCAACAAAUACCCAUAAUUGCAAAAAAGAAAAAUUACCCUUUUUUUCCCCUCUUAAUUACUACACAUCAUUGAGCACAUUGUUUAAUUGUAUAUUCUAAGGCCUCAUCCGAACUUGAACUUGGCACAAAUUAACAGUAGAGAUUUGAAAUGGCACAAACACAUGAAAUAUUAUGAUUUCAUGGUAAAAAAUCACCUAGAGAGGAUAGUUAAAAGGAUAGUUAAAGGCAAUGAAAGUAGAAUUUUUGAAUUGUUUUCUGUUUUUAAUUUUUCAAAGUUUGGAAUAUGCAAAUAUCAUAUUACUUAAUUUGAAUUCGUGUAGUUCUAAGUCUUUUAUUUAUUUAUUUAUUUAUUCUUAACUACAAAAUAGUUGUCACCCACACCAUGCAAAUAAGUGUUUGCACUCGAAUCAAAAUACCAGGUCAAGUCCAUAAAUAAUUCUCAACAUCUACAUUAAAUGCAACGCAUAUAUAUAUAUAUGUGUGUGUGUGUGUGUGUGUGUACGUGUGUGUGUGUGUCCUACCCUAAUUCGGUCGAUAUAUAUAUAUAGGUAAUAUUUAUCACGCUAUAGCUGCAUACCAUUUGAUAUAAGAUAUAUUAAAUAAUAAACUCGACAUUUAAAUAGCAAUUUGCCUCCAAUUUAUUCGGAUACUAUCACAUGCAUUCGAAGUUUGAUUUCAUAAUUAAAAACAUAAAACUAGAGGAUACGCCAAAAUGCAUGCUAACGUACUAUAUAUAUGCAUUCUCCUACCAAACUUUGGAAGGAUCAAUAAUCAAUAAUAAUAUAUAUUAUUGGCUAAUUAUCAUUAAAUUAACACAAUUAAAAUCCAAUUUUCGUAAAGAACUAUCUCUCCUAAAUAAUGUUUACUUGGCAGCAACUUAUUGGACAUAACAGCAGUCGAGAGAUUUGCUAGCUGUCGAGUUCUUAUUGGCAGAGAAUUAAUCCACUUGUUAAUUAAUUUCCUUUCCCUAGCAAUGCAUGCAAGCACCUUCAAUACAUGCAUUAAAUAAGAUUGGCAUCAACUAAUGUGAAAAUUACUUUUGUUUGAGUAUAAAAUGUAUAUUAAAACACUAUUUACUAGUAACUUAAAAUAUUUUUGAAAAAAAAAUUAUUUUACAUAGUAUUAGGAGAGCUUGAACUCGAAUCUUAUCUCAAUUUUCUAGUUUUAAUUAGUUUAGUCUUGAUCAGGUAAAACUUUCUUGUACAAAAAAAAGCUAAAUAUAUAACAUUAAAUACUGUAACCUAGGUAGUAGCAAAUAAUAUUAAUUAGGAGAUCAUUUAAUGCAAUCUGAUCUAAACUGUAAUCUUUUUCUAUUUUGAACUUGAAAGGCCCCUUAUUAGGGUUUAGCAGAUUUGCUAAAGCAAUAUCUACUGUUGUCAAUAGUAUGUAUAUUGUGUCUAAUUAAUCAUAUUUUGAAUCUUUUUGCUCUGACAAUAUCAAUUUCUUUUCCUAAAUGGCAUGGUCUCUCUCUCUCUCUCUCUAAAGAAAUAAAAAAGAAAAAUGGCAUGCAUGGUGAGUUGCAAAUAACUAGGAGGUGAAUAUUAACUGGGUAGAUUCUCCAACCCUUGAUAUGACUGUUGCAGCUUUCACAUGUGGGAGAAUGCUUUGUAUUUUUGGUUGGGACAGGAAAGAUGUGUAUCAGAACUUUGGUGGCAUCACAUACAGCAUCAUCAUCACCAUCAUCAUCAUCAUCAUUCAUAAAUAAAUAAAUAAAUAAAUAAAUAUAUAUAUAUAUAUAGAGAGAGAGAGAGAGUUGAGCUGGAAUGCUAUCGGUAGCAAACGGGCGCCGUUGCCACCCAUUUGUUUUCUAUGAUGGAGCUUUCAAAUCGACGAUCGGUACCGUUGAACAUGAUCUAUAUCACUUGAAGUAUUUAGAAAUUAAAUUUUAAAUUUUUUCGACAUUAUUUACUUAAUGAUCAAAGGGUUUCAAAAUUAGUAAUUUUAAUGGUUGAUGUGAGGGGUUUUCUCGUUUAACAGUGUAAAGCUAUCCAAAUCAAUUGAAUUUUGGUUAGAAAAUUUUUUAAACUAUUUAGAACAAGAUCUAUACUCUCGAUAAUGAUUACAAAAUUUCUAUCAUCACUUUUUAGAGGAUAUUCAUUUUCAGCCAUUCAUUUUUACGCCCACUUGAUGGACAAGAAAACAAUAUCGAAAAAGUAUGAAAUUUGAUUUUUAGAUACUUCAAGUGGUAUAGAUCAUUUUCAACGGUGCCGAUCGUCGAUUUGGGGGCUCCAUCAUCGAAAACAAAUAGGUAGCAACGAAGCCCGUUUGCUACCGAUAGUAUUCUAGCUCAACUCUAUAUAUAUAUAUAUAUAUAUAUAUAUAUAUAUAUAUAUAUANAUAUAUAUAUAUAUAUAUUUAUUUAUUUAUUUAUUUAUUUAUUUAUUUAUGAACCCCUUCGAUCUAUAUGUGGCAGCAACAAUACAAUUCCCCACAUCCCCUGCUUUAUUGGAGAAAGUCAUUGUGCCCUUCUCUUCUUGUUCCCAUCACCAUCUGAAAAGGGAAUGUCAUUGCUUAGUUGUGAGCAUCUUUACUCUCCGAAUCUUUCUCCUUAUUAGGUACGGGAAAUGCUCUGGGUCCUCAAUAAAAAUCCUUUAGGUAUAUUAAUGAUGUAUUGGUAACUUAUAAUAGACAUAUUUUUAACUGUAUAUAUGAUGUGUGAAUCGAUUAAUAUUAUUAUAUCAUGUACGCUGUCAUUUCAAUAUAUAACUCAUAUAGGCAGUAUUUUGAAGGACCCAUUUCUAGAAGUGGAGACUCCUUUGCAGGUUGUUAUGAUAAAUUUUUGUACCUAGAAAAUAAAAAUAAUUCAAUAAAAGCCAGCUCUAAUGCUAGACCUAGCUUGAGCUGUUUAGAAUUUAUUACCAAUACUUUGUCCAAGAAAUUAAGCCUCUUCUGCCGCGCGUACAAUUAAACUUGAUAACAAGCCAUAAGAUAAUAUGACUACAUAUCAAAUUUGUUAUGUCAGGCCAGCGAAGAAUGCUUCUUUAAAGAAUAUUAUUGUUAUUGUUAUUGUUAUUAUUAUUAUUAUUCUAAAAUGUUAUUCUCCGUCUAUGUGCUGUACAGAGGAUGUCGUGUCCAAACUAGUUUAUGCAAUACAACUAGACGUUCAGAUAAAUAGUAAAGCACUUGAACCAAUUAAUACUUAAACCAAAUUAGUUUGUGCUGACACAAAGUAUGUCAUAUCCAAAUUAAAUUAGUUUAUACAGUGCAACUAGACGUUCAAAUAAAUAGUAAAGUACUUAAACAAAUUCUCUUCAUAAAAUCUAAAAGAAUGUAUAAAGAGAGUGCGCGCGCAUGAGAGAGAGAGAGAGAGAGAGAGAGAGAGAGAGAUAUUUAUGGUGUGGUUGUGUCGCCAUGCUUGCCAGGCAUUGCCAUAUAUGUUUGGCCGCACGUACUUUUGACAAGCCUCUCGUGACUCCAUCUCUGUUCUACUACACAAUUGUUCUCAUAGGAGAAUUACUCGUACGGACGUAAAGCCUUUUAACUUCGUGCAUGUCUUAUUAUUCUCUCAAAAGUUUUGCCAUAUAUAUAUCACAAGAGAUAUUUUACCCUAUGUACGUAUAUUCCCUACCUUUGGAGCAUAUAUACUCGGGAGUUACAUAUUUAAUGAUAGUGAGGAUAACUAAUAUAUCUUCAUGAAAUGCAAUUCAUCGACCAUUCAAAGUUAUAUAUUCAAUUCCGUAAAGUAAGCAUUACAACUAAUCCUAUCUCUUCUUUGUGUAAAAUAGCAUUAACUAGGUGUCCCUCGACGCCAUGUGGCCCUAGGUAUUAAAAGUUCGCUAAAGCCUCUAUUGAAAAGGUGCUUGAAAAUUAAAUAUACAUGCUUAAGAAACCUAUGAAUAAGGGACGUGACCAAAUCUAACAGAAUUGAACUCAAGAGUGCAAUUAAAAAAAAAAAAUCAUACUAACUGUUACAAGUUGUAAUUAAUAUGUAGAACAAGUCCAAAUAUAUGCUAUGACUCUGUGGUUGUACUUAGAUGGAAUUUGGUUCAAAAAUUCACAAAGUCAUUAAAAUUUUUUUUAGACUUUGCUAAUCACAGUACACCCUAGUUGGAAUUUCUUGUGACAAAUUAAAUAUACCAACAAUAGUUUCAAAUUAAUUGCUUCCAAUAUUAUUGCACAUAGAUGAUCAUGCACAGCAAUUCAUUGUGUCCCCAGCAGUUUCUAUCUAAUAUAUGUAUAUAUAUAUAUAUAUAUAUAGCACAGAGGCCUCCGUACUGCUAAUUAAGUUAUUUUCGGUUAUACAGCUUUUGAAUCGAUGAUCAAUUCCAUUAAACUUGAUCUACACUAUUAAAAGUGUUUGAAAAUCAAAUUUUAUAAUUUUUCGACAUCAUUACCUAUUAAACGAGUAAUCUAAAAAUAAAUGGAUGAAAACAAAAAUCUCAUAAAAAAUAAUAACCAAAGACUUGAAUUUAGAUUCGGAUGUACUGAUCUUACUUUAAAUAGUGAAAAAAAUUUCUAUAAAAAUUUCAUCCGAUUAGAAUUAUUUUAUACCGUUAAAUUCACAAAAGCAUCACACCGGCCAUUAAAAUUGUCAAUUUCGAGACAUUUUGAUCACUAGUCAAAUAAUAUUGAAAAAAUAUGAAAUUUUAUUUUUAAAUAUUUCUAAUAGUAUAAAUCAUGUCUAACGAAACCGAUCGUCAAUUAGAAAAGUUGUAUUAUCGAAAAUAACUUAGUAAUACGAAGAUCUUCAUGCUACGUACCAACAAUAUAUAUAAUAGCAGGACUCUCUCCAUAUAUAUAUAUAUAUAUAUAUAUAUAUAUAGAGAGAGAGAGAGAGAGAGAGAGAGAGAGAGAAAGAGCACGGCUACUGUGCUAUUAGGAGCACAGCAGUUCUUGUACUCCUAACUUUCUAAUCAUACAUCAAUUUUGAUGCGUGAUUAGAAUUAGAGACAAAAGAGAAAUUGAGAAGAAAUUGGGUGUCUCAAUUUCUUUUAGUUUUGAAUCUUUUUCCAAUCUAUCUUUUCUCUCUCAUUUUAACCGUCUAUUAAAAUUGAUAGAUGGUUAGAAAGUUAAGAGUAUAAGGACUACUGUGCUCCUGAUAGCACAGUAGCCCUACUCUCUCUCUCUCUCUAUAUAUAUUCGCAUGUGAGUCUCCUCUAGGAUUCUUAUGAUAUACAUACUACCAAAUAUCACGUGAGGUGGCACUUUGGAUUUUGGGAAGUACAUUCACAUGCGGCCGUGGACGGACGAGUCGCAACAAAAACACAUAAAAGUAUAGAUUAGAGUGACCAUAGCUUGCCAUGUUGUACGUGACUUAUAUUGAUCAAGGAGAUAAAAAAUAUAUAUAUAUGUAUCAAAUAAAUUAAACAUAAACAGAAUAAAUAAUGGAGGAGUGAUAAGCGUGAACACAAACAACAAAGAUGUUUGGAUGGGUAUGUACGUAUGUGAAUCAUACAAGUACACCAUGUUUUGACCUCUUCUAGAGUGACAAGGAAAAGCCUCAUUCAAAGCAACAAAUUGUUUACUAUGCAAUUGCCUUGUCUGGCUACUUGUUACCUAAAGAAAGGAUAAGAUAGAAUUAAAAAAACAAAGAAUAUAUAAAGUGCUAAAAAGGAAAAUGAGAACUAUACAAAUAGCAUAGAUGAGUUGGUUUGAUCAAGUACAAAUUAAACUACAGGAAUAUUAGUUGGCUCCUCUGCAUUAAAAGUAUAUCGGAGUUAGGUAAAAAAUACUCAGCUUUAAAAAGAUCGAUUUGCUAGAAAACAGCUCAAAAAUUCUCCCAUAAAUUCAAUUAGUUAUAUACAAAUUAUGGUAGGAGUCCAAUCUACGACGUCGUUAAUUAUUAGAAUGCAAAAACAUUUAAGAUCUAGUAUGUAUACUUUAGUUUCAUAUGAGGAACAUGGUAUAUGAAAACAUGUGCACUACUCCGUAUUUAAUUUUCUUCUAAUAAAUAAAUCAUUAUGAAGGUGGAAUGUGGUAUAUAUCAUGAAAAUUAUACAAAGAAGACUCUUGUAGUUAAUUGUCUAAAUUCAAAUUUUUUAUUAUAAUUAGAAAGAUAAAGAUUCAUAUCGUUCAAGUUAUUGGUAUAUAUAUAUAUAUAUAUACAAUUUGUUUAAUUAGAUAGCAAAACAGAAUUGUAGUUUUCAUAAUCACUUGCAAUUUCUUGAUCCAUUUGUGUAAUUGGCCACUUAGGUGACCUUGCGCGGAUUUAAAGUUGACGCAACUUAUCGAUUAGGUUCGAAAUGCACAGGUAAUGGAGUAAUUAGGAAUUCAUGAUUAAGCUAGCUAGAUUUUGGACCUGAUAUAGUGCCAAUUUGGAUGCAAAAUCCUAAGUUAUUUCUCGAGUUCAUGUCAGGUUAGAUCAUAAUAAUAAACCAGUUCAUAAUCAAAUAAGAAAUUGAAUCUUACUUGGUAAUGGCUCCAAUAGACCCCUUGCUAUAUAUCCACAAGGUCGACGACAAGCCGAUGGGCCGAACUAUUAUUAUGGACUGGCCUGGGUCGAAACAUCGGAGCCCAAAACAAAUCGAUUCGACCGAAAUCAAAAUGAAAGAGGCCCGAUUUUAUCCUAGCACAACCACAAAUUUCGUUACAUGAACUACUGAUUCUGUCAAAUUUCAUAAUUUUUUCUUUGUUAGUGAUUAAUUAAUGACCAGUACCUAAUAAACCUUUUGGUUUUAAUAAAGUAUGUAACUUACACAACUCACCAUAAAUUAGUUAAACUAAAGUAAAUAAAAGUUAAGAGAGUGCGAAUUCAAAAAAUGGCCUAUAAUUUACCGAGUAUCUCCAUAUAUCUAUCACCUAUUUAAUAGAACUAACUCGGUUUUCCAAACAUAAGUUGAAAAGUCGGCGACGACGCACCUCACCGUACCGACUUCUCAAGGAAAAGUCGGCGCAGAGUCCAUUCACCUUCCCGAAUAUUAGGGAAGUCGUUAACGGAGCGCCCAAAACCGCCGACAGUAACUUCGACCCGGACCCGUUAUGUUGGGUUCGGGUCGGAUUCGGGCCCAAACAGCGAAAUUACAUAAACCCGACCCGAGUCGCGCCCUUUCUCUUUUGGGGGUCUUCGCCCCGUUCCAAGCGCUCGCUCGCUCGCUCGCUCUUCAUCGAUGCUUCUUCGUCUCCUUCGCGGCUCCUCCUCCUACACCUCAAAACCCUUCUCCUCUCCCCUCCCAAACCUCUCUCUUCUCCCCAUUUCCUCUUCCUCGAGGACGAAGGCGACGACGAUGGGCGCGAGAACCCUAGAUCAGUACUCGGCGACGCGGAGGUCCCCUCCUCGUCGUCGUCGUCGUCGUCGCGGAUCGGUGAGUGCUCCCACACUGCUCUUGUUUCUGUGGCUUAAUUUGGCGGUUAUGUUGGUGCGUUGUGACAUUUUGUCCUAGUGUUUGAGGUUCGAUUUGUGAGAUGGGGCGUGAUGGGGAGCAACGAGCAUUUUACUUUGGCAUUUCGUUGAAUUUUUUUUAUAGGACCCUCAUCUUAUCAAGUAUGAUCCUUGGACAUUUUCAUCAGUAAUUUUCUAGGAUUGUAGACUUAUUGAACAAUUUUAGGACUCAGAGAAAAGAUUACAUGAGUAACCUCAACUUACAUGAAAAUCUUUAACUUGACUCUGUUUUAUGUAAAUUGGUUCCGACAUCUGGAGAUUGCAUGUAUUGGAAAUGAGUCUAUAAAAAGCUGAAAACUGUUAAAUAUAUGUAUGAUCGUCGAUCCGGGAGUGCUAUCCAGUGAAGCUACAGUAUUGCAGUUCAUUAAUUUUCUGAAUUUAGGGCAUUGUUUUGCUAUGUUAAAGCCAAAACAAAGAACAAAAAAAAAAAGGAUUUGUUGGUGGCAUGAGAUGGUUUCAGUAAGAAGACAAUUUAUUGGCUGCUAUUUAGCUGGUGAUUAUCCUUUGAAAUGUAAUUAGUGAAAAACCUGUAUACGAAGUUUAAUUUGUAUCUUGUGCAUCCUUAUCAAAAUGCAAUGCAGUUAUCUCGGACAUUCUUUAGUAAUGUAUCACAAUCUAUCGGUUAUUAGCAUGAUCGAUCAAUAUACGUCUUCAUUGCAAACUGUUCAGUUUACUGGGAGGAUGGGUAUUUGUUUCUUGUAAUGUUAAUCACAGGUGCAGAUCUCCACAUUCUGUUGGAUCUUGACAGAUUGCGUCUCCAAAAUUGAUGAGGAAUAGUGGCCCGAAAUUUGCUUCGGUGGAACCUGAAGAACUUCCUUUUGACAUAUGCAAGACAGAAAGCAAUGAUUCCCUAACAAAGAUAAACCGAGAAAUGAUCAAAGAACUCGAAGGUCCCAAGAAUAGUCUCCAUCAGAACAUGCACUUGAGAUCAGGGAUGGUUCUAUUGAAGAACUUCUUAGACCAUCAUAAUCAGGUCUGUUAAAGACAAGCAUUUUCUGUAAGGCCCGGAGUUAAAGAUUCUGUACGCUAUGCUUAUUUAUGCCCUAAAUGCUGGUUAAUUGUCAUCUAUUCUAAAUUUUAAUUGAGAUGUUUGGAUGUAUACCGCUGCAAAAUAUUCAUUUACAUAUGUAUAUUCCUGCAAACUGAGUUUCUACUAUCCCCUCAGAAAUUUAAAAAUUGUUUCCUUGCAUAUAUCCUUGUACUUAUUAAAUGCCCCUCUUUAAAUGUUUUCAAGACAAACAAAUCUCUGGCAUCAGUUAGAUGAUGCUGUGCUGUACCUUAAAAUAAGGUUGUACUUGUGAAAGUAUAUUGUAAAAUUCAGAUUCUUGAGGUGUAAAUAUGUAAAUAGAUGGCAUUUCAGGUAUAUAUAGCCUUUUUUAGACCAUAUAUCUAGGAUUAGCAAUUGUAACACUACGUAAUUUCUGGAUGCCAUUGUGAAUUUGAUGCAUUAUUAAUAGUGGUUAUUUAAAUACACUCAGUUUUUGCCACAUUAUUGUGAUUAUAGGUAAAAAUUAUUCAAAAAUGUCGAGAUCUUGGUAUUGGGUCAGGAGGAUUCUAUAGGCCAAGAUUUAGAGAUGGUGCAAAGUUGCAUCUACGGAUGAUGUGCUUAGGAAUGAAUUGGGACGCUGAGUCGAGAUUGUAUCAAGACGAACGUCUGAUAGAUGGUGCCAAAGCACCCAAUAUUCCACAGGAAUUUAGUGAUCUGGUUGAUAAAGCGAUUCAUGCCUCUCAUGACUUUUUGAGAGAAAAAUAUAAAAACAUUAAUGUUGAAGCUGAAGUUCCGAAGAUGUCACCAGAGAUAUGCAUUGUGAACUUCUACAGUAACUAUGGAAGGCUUGGUCUUCAUCAGGUAUGAAUAUAUGAAGAUUGUUAUGGCUUCGCAUAAGGAAAUCUCUUUUCACUACAUUCAGUUCUUACAUUGUCAUCUAUAAACAUUUUCUAUCAGAUAAAACACGGACAUUGUUUAUGAUGUAAUGCUACACUUAGAUCCAUAAGCUUUGUUCUUUUCUUAAAUGGAUUUCUGAAAGUUUCUUAAAGUACCACCACAAAUUUUCAACCUAACUUUUAAUUUUUAUUGAGAGACAUCCUAUCUUGAGGUUACCCAUGCUCAUUUUCAUUGCCUUGAAUCUUUUCCUUCAAAUGCUUUUUCUAAAUGGCUCUCAAGUACUAUCACUGUCAGUAGAAGGAUUAAUUAUUGUUAGCAUCUUUGGCCCUAUUAUGUUACCUUGUCCAUAGUCUUUGAUGAAUAAGUAUAAGCAACUUGUUUGGCGAGGAUAUUUUCUGAUAACUGUGAUAGGUGAGGGCCUCUCCAGUUUAAAUUUUAUGACCUCAAGUAUAUUAUGUUCUCACCAGAAUCAUAAAUUCCUUUUUUAUGUCUUGAUACUGAUUCUUAGUUGCAUACAUUCUUGUUAAUAUGCAGGAUAGGGAUGAGACGAAGGAGAGCCUGCAUAAGGGAUUACCUGUUGUUUCUUUCUCAUUGGGCGAUUCUGCCGAGUUUUUGUAUGGAACGAACAGAGACGUAGCUAGUGCUUGUAAAGUUUUGCUUGAAUCGGGUGAUGUCUUGAUCUUUGGUGGUAAAUCUAGGCUAAUAUUUCAUGGAGUUUCAUCAAUUUUGCCAAGUACAGCACCGAAACAGCUCAUAGAUGAGGCGAGUCUACGACCUGGUCGUCUUAAUUUAACUUUCAGACAAUACUCUCCAUCAUUUGUCCGCUAAAAAUUUUUCUUUAAUGUACUUCAUUUUGUAAUUCGACAUUCUGUUUGUGUACUGCUGUUUACAGUAAUCUUCUAGUCGACAUUUUUGUAGAAAGAUGAUUGCCUUUUUGUGCUAAUAUGUUCUUCUUAGUCUUACUCUAAAUAUGAUUUUAUUGAUGAUUAUGCUUAUAAUGUAAGAAAAAGAGAAGAAAGAAAAUGGUUUCUUGUGGUUGGUGCCUUUGUGAGGGAUGAUUUGCCACAAACAAGCUGCUCGCAUUUGACACCAAAUUUGGUCGCAUUUCAACUGUUCAUAUCCUCUGUGAGUGUUCAAUUUGAAGUAGGUUUAACUUGAAAACAAUCCAAAUUUCAUGUGGCUAAAUGUUCCUUGCCUUUUUCUAAGCAUGGUAAGGUUGCACUCUUGCAGAUCAUAGCUUAGUAGAGAUCAGAAAAUGACUCAAUAAAUACUUUUUUAGGAACAGCUCAUUCAAAAUACAUCACAUAUCAGCUAGUUUUCUUGUUUUCUAACUUUUGUGCAGAGAAUACAAACAUUAAUAUAUCCCCAUUAAGAUCAAGAUAAUAUAGAAACAUGAAAAGUGACAUAUGCUAUUUUCUUACAUCAACCAAUUCAAAGUUCCUUUGAUUUAAACCCAUACUUUCACAUUAUUCGCACAAUUCAAUCUUUGAUUCAAAAUACUAAAUCUGACACUCUAAAACUCUAAAAAGGCAAAAAUAUCGCUUGGUACAUUAUUUUGGAUGCUACAAUCCAUGACCUAACGUUUUUGACCUAGAUCUAAAGAACAACCAUGAAAUGAAAUGAGUUUCCUUUAAAUUGAGAACAAAUAUCUCCUCACAAAACCAUGCCAAGAUCUUUUUCAAGAAUUAAUUUAAACCAAUAAAUAUAAGUUAUACAUAUAGCUCCAUUAUACACUUAAUUCAUUUACACACACAAACAAAAACUAAUUAAGAACAAGUACGGAUCUACGGCAACUUCAUGAAUUAAAUAAAUAUACCACUUAAUUAUUAGUACAUAUACAAACCUGCAUAUAUAACACCCACCCUAAUGAAAGGGGAGGGAGACACGAAUACUACACAUAACAAAAUAUGUUGGUAAUUAUAUAUAUAGCUAAAUUGUUCUACCUGUCAUGCCUGAGCCACAUGGAUGACAAGGGAGAGUAUGCAACCUGAACUCGAACCGGACCGCGAACGACGUAGCCGGCGAACCGGACCGCUGCGGUGGCGACCGACAUGUAGUCCAUGAUCAUCUUGCUCGCCUCAUGAAGCAUGCAAAUGCUCUUCCUCAUGAUCACACCUAGAACUACUGAUAUUGCACUCUCCCAGCUAACCAUGUUCCCCACCUUUUUUUCUUUUUUUUUUUUCUUUUUCUUUUUCUUUUUAUUUUGCUGGAAUAGGAAUAUUUGGGCUCUGAAUAUGCACCUUGAGAAUAAUCUUUGUAUGUUCAAUCAUUAAAAUAAGUAGCCAUCAUGUAUCUACCCUUUCUUUUUCUUAAGAAAAGGAUCUAUAGCUACUAUUUAUCAAUGCGCAGUGAUAAAACUUUUAGUUAAGUACAAAAGGAGAUAACAGUGAUAGGACCAAAACACCCUAAACAAGUUAAUAAACCUGGUUUACUAAAUAAGUGAAUUUUGGUUAGCUUCUAAGUUCUAACAAGGUCAAACAAUUGUUUUGGUGCAUAUAUAAGUGGGUACAUAUAUAUAUGUAAUAUCCUUUUUUUUCAUUUUUUUGGCUCUUAUAUAUGAAGAAAAAGCUGGGAAAACAACGCUAUGUAUCAUGCGUUUGUAGGUAAACUAGGGCCUUUGUUAAAGUCUCAAUCAGAUAGAAGCUUCUCUUACUACAUAUAUGUAGGUUAAAAGUAGGCAGAGUUUGAAGAAACAUAAAUUUACCAUACUUAUGUUAUAGAUUAUUUAUAUAAUAAAUUAGUCCAAAUGUACGAAUAAUGUAGUGUCCAAGUCCAAACGUAUUAAACUCUUUUCUUUUCUUUUUUUUUUUUGUUUUUAACUAUUGCAACAUUAAGUUACUAUAGAUAAGUUAAACACAGUUUAACUUGUCUUACUAUUACAAAUUGAAUGUACCCAAGUCUAAACAUGCAUAUAUAGUACUUAAAACUCUUUGGUUUUUUUUUUGUUUUUUUUGUUUUUUUUUUCCACGGUGGGUGAGUGCAUUAUGUAAGGGUAUUUUGAGAAUUUCGGAGAGGGUGUGAGGAGGGCCCUACUGAUGAGGACAUGAUGUGCUCACACCUGGGAGAUUUUGGGAAGAGUCGGGGGAUUUCUUAGCAAGUGAGUGCAUGAAAAUGUCGACAUGUUGGUGGGUAAUAUGGGAAGGAAAACGACACCAAUGCUGUUUUUUUUAAAGAAAAAAAAAGGAAAAAGAAAAAUUCUGGAUCUGAUCCUGUACUUUUUAUCUUAAAGUGAACUAUCAAACAAUCGCUAUAUUCUAAAAAUUUUAAACUGUUAGAGAUUUUUAUAUUUAACACCUUCCUCGCGUCUGGGCCUAAGACUUUUUUCCAAGACCAUGAUACAGACUUGAAUUAAAUGAGAAAAAAUUAAUAAUGCUAAAAGCCUGACGUGACUCGAAUUCAGAAUUUUCUAUUCUGAUAUCAUGCGUAAUAAUUAUUGUACUCUAAAAGUUUAAACUGUUAGAAAAUAGUAUUCAUAUAUUUUUAUAUUAAACACUAAGUGAUAUUUAGAAGCAGGAUUUGUAUACUAUGUACAUUUCCUUCUUAAAAAUUAAACCGCGUGAAAGUAUGAGGUUGUAAAUUUGAGUCAAGACUUGAAACGCAGGUGUUGAACUAUUCAUCAAAUAUUACUCUUCUUAUAUAAACCAAUAACUAAAAAAAGAUAUGUUGUGUCACAUAAUUACUGCUAACACAUUAGCAGCUUAUAACAUUUCUACGGAGACUAUAAUUUGGGCAAAGUAAAGAAUCCUCCUUUUAUUAGAAACUGUUGUAUAUGCACAGCUGGACUAAUGUAUUCCAAGGACCACAAAUUGAUGGUUAAAAUGCAAGUGGAAUUUAGAUAGAGAAGGCACCAUUAAUGCACUUAGUUAGAGUAGGUAAUAAAUUUUGUUUUCAAAAUUCGGAAAAUACUGAGUUGUUAUUAAAGAACUUUUCUCUUUUGGAUAAGAAUUAUGCUAGAUCUUAUUAUUACAACUGACGAAUUAAGAUUUUCUUUAGUUUUUAAUUAGUCUUUGUCGUAAUUUCACAGUGAACGUCGUUUCAACAUUAUUAGAGCUAAUUAAUUUAGAAUAAGAUUGCAUUUAAAUAGCCAUAUGUCAGUGAACGCAACCACAUCUCAUCAUUAUCAGAGCUAAUUAAUUUAGAAUUCGUUUGCAUUUAAGUUUGUGAUGCAGAGGAAAGGAAAAAAAUUUAUUACGAGAGUGAUCAUUGUGGCUCUUACUCAUCAACACUGCUGCAUUUUAUCGAUAAUUUGUCUAAUAUUAGUUACUUUAAAUUAAUAAAAUAUGAAUAUUGAUGGUUCUCAAGAGAACUUAAAAGUUUGGAUGGAAAAUAUAAAAUUGUUAAUGUUUGAAUUUUUAUUAGCAAACAAUUAACAAAGUUUCUUUUUCAUGCGUGGAUUGUUUGGGCCAUGUACGUACAUGCCGCAUCCGCAUAAUGGGCCUGCAUAAUGGCCCUUAAUUUAGUGGUGUAAGCAGAGCCGAACGACGUCGUAAACUAGACCUGAGCUCAUUGUGAGCCAAGCCAGGUUCGAACGGAACACAUUUUGCAGAUGGAUAUGUUUUUUGAGAGAAAUGUAGCAUACCACUUGUUUCGUUUAUUUUUUAAAAAAAUAAACUUAGCGAGAAAUAUGAAUCAACUAGAAUUUAAAUUUGAAAUCUCGAGUACUAACCACCAAGUCUUUUGUCACUUGCGCCAGAGACGAUCAGUUACAAAUGAAUAUGCUAAUCUUGUUGUCAUCACAAUAUGCGCUCAGGCUAAAUCAC